AGAGGGAGGGAGGGAGCGUGGCUGCAUAAAGAAAACCUUCACCAGUUACCCAUAAGUUCGAGAACUAAUUAAUAGGUGCCAUGCAGACACGUCUACAACCCUUAAUAGGUUAACCUGGAGGAAAAAAUUGGAACGUACUUGUUUACAAAAAGCAUAAAUCAACGGCUUCCUCAACUGUGAAAAAACAAUCAGACCUUAAGGCGCAAAGUAUGAACAGUGCAACGCAGCCAAUUCAACAAUGGUGCAAGACCAUCCAAUACAAGCACGUGUCUCUGAAUGACAAACAUCGAAUAAAAUUGGAAUGUGUACUUCCCUGUGUACUUGCAUAACCUACAUGACCAAGAAGUACCAGAAGAAGAAGAGGACAAGGGCGUGGGGAACAAUAACUGCUGGGAUUGAGCAAAAACUAGAGAGCCCUAGAGAGCGAAUCAGUAAGACCAAGAAAAACAUUUCUUACCCAAUGAGAUUCGAGAGAUCCACAAGGUUCAGAAACCUUGAGAACGACAGACCUUAUCAGACGUGGAAUAAAGCAUCGAACAAGCCAUCACAAGAAAACCUAAUUGUUCUGCUGAAAAAAAAAAACAUACCAGGAGCAGGAGCUUGUAAAAAUGCAUACUUCAGGGCUUAAGGUAUUGAUUAAGCUACCAAGUUAAGAAGGAGAAUCAUACCGGUAGGAGGUGCUACCCCUAUGCCAACCCUAAUUCCAUAACCAUGAACUAAACCCUCGCCCAAAAAUAUGAACUGGACGAGAUACUAAUAGGAACCCUGGCCAAAGGGAAGAAGUGGAUAUAAUCAAGUGGAUAAUGCAAUAAGUGUCAGGCCAAGUGAUUUCACCUGAAGUAUCAGCGUUGAGUAGCAGCAGUUCCUUUUCCCGCAGUUGCUCCUCCUUUUUCCGCAGUUGCUUCUUCUCUUCCCGCAGUUGCUCCUCCUUAUUCCGCCAGUAAGCGACAUCGGCCUCUGUGACAGCCUUCGUCAGUUGUUCUUCCACAGCAUCGAUCUGUUGCUCUACUUUCCUGAUCUCUUGCUUCACCUCUUCAAAUUCGGUAUCCAUUGUCUUGUAAAGCGCAUGACCCUUUCAGCACGCCUAUGCUGCCUACGUGACCACCUCCUGUAACGUGCAACCUCAGCAGCAAUUCAUUAGAACGCUGUCACACGCAAACGCGAGCAGUGCUCGAAAUGCAUACAAAACUCCGCUCAGCCGAAACAAACCCCGAUAGAGACAACAAACAGAAAGAGUAAAAUCAGCUGCCAAACCACAAUCAAAGCUCAUGGCGCGCACGACAGCCACUUCUAAACUCUCCCGAAUCAUGCCUCACAACUAAUAAUCCAACAACAUAAGUAAUCACCCUGUCAUUCACCAUAAAGACUCGAAAUUUACCGCAGAAACACGAAACACGGAGGGGCGGCUGACCCCGGCCAAGAAAUCAACGACACCCGGAAAAGCAAACUGGCGCUGGAAUUACAAGAGGAAAAGAAACUGGACAACAAUACGAUACUUGUGGAUGACUGAAGAGCUCAACGGAGACAGAAUAACUUACCGGUAGGCGGAAGGCAAGGGUGGUAAGAGAACAGAAGAGAGCGCUCAAGCUGAGGUCAAGCGAUGGAACUGCCCGUCGUGAGAAAGGUUCCCUACCUCUGCCAGGGUCAUUCUUGUCAAUCACGCCCAUCAACGAGGCUACCUAACGAAACGAAACAGCAGACUUGGAAGGAGCAAAAUAAACACUGAACACUAGCGCAUGGAAAAACGGAAACCCUAGCACAAGGAAGAAGAGAAAACCCUACCUAUCCGAGAGUGGCAGACCCAAAGCCAAGAAUGGAAUGCACCGAGUUCUAAAAUCGGGGUGGCAAUUCGUACAAAGCCUAAUUACUGAUCUGACACAAAAACCUCAAAUCAGAAAUUAAGACAGUCGAGUCAAGAAUUCAACCAGAAACAGCCGCGAAGGGUUGGUCGUAAGGUUCUGAUGCAUCGUGAUACAACUGAAAUCUUGUUUAUAAACCAUAUGAACCAAUUUUUACUAGAUUCUUUUUUUUGAUGUACUUAUCCAUGUUGAUGUACAUAUCCUGUUGAGGGGUCUUCGUUCUUGGAUCAUACACAUCAAAACCAUUAAUAUAUGUAUACUUUCCAAGCAAGAGACUGUUCCAGAACUGUUCAAAAUAGCCUCCAAUUCUUCGUCACUAUCCUACACUAGACUCAAUUCAAUCAAUUCAACCAGUUGAAGUUGACAAGCAGAAUGAAAUUAUGGCGAAGCAACAAAGACACAUCUACAACUUCAAAAGUUCUUUUAAUACGAGUGAGGCCCAUUGGAGACUUUUUAGGUGAAAUGUGCAUAAAAUCUCGAACGAGUCGAGUCUCUAGAGCUACUUCAUGAUUGUGCACUCUAAAAACGUGGCGUUGGAGGUUAUCAAUCUAUCUUUGCAUGUUAUAAAUCUGCAACAUUGAAAGAGCCGAAGCUUGAUUAAUUGCUAUCAUUCUCUCUGCACCCAGUUUUUGAGUCUCCAACUUUUCUCGUUCUUCUGCAGAUGAUUUAGUUCAAGAUUUUUCACUGGCUUUAAUGGCAUGUUGUCGUGUUGUAGUUCAGCAACAAUAUCAAAGUAAUGUAAUUAUGUACUUAAUACAUAAUUUACUAAGUAACAUGGUAUCAAGGACAAGAUCUCGAUGAAAAAAUAAUUCAGACAAGUGAGCCUUCACUCAAAGAAAGGUAACAAAAUAUAAAUAAAUAUGUAUGUAUAUUGAAAGAGAAACUAGAAUGGAUAUUGCCAAAAGACAAGAAAACUAGAGACCCUUGAAACUAGACUAGAAGCAAGAAAGGAGUUGACAAGAGUGAAGAAGGCUUCACUCUUAUCUCUAUAUAUACUAUCUAACUAACGGCUACGUGGCGAUGUUUAAUAUGACCUUCAAUAUUUGUUGACUUUAUAGGACACUUGCCUUGGUUUACAAGGCAAGUUUUCCUACGUGUGGGCCACAUAGUUAGCUUGGUCUUCAAUCUAACAACAUGCAUGGCACAUGGCCAACUUGUUGACCACGUUUCUAAUGUAGAAAGUUAAUUUAAGACACAUAUGAAGUCAAAGCAACAUCUAUGAAGUUUCUAGGAAGCUUCUAUAUCAAAUAUUAUAAAAUUAACUUACUUUUACUUACUUUUACUUCUAUAUAUUUUGUAUAUAUAAUUAUGAGUAUGUCCGUGAUAUAAUCUCCCCUUUUAGGGACGAAUUCCAUAAGGAGCAGUCAUCUUAUGUUGAGAAAAUCUAUGAUGCGACAAAUUAUAUUCCCCACAUACUCUGAUCUUUGUUCUCUUCGAAGAUGAUUGAUAAGGCCUCUCAACCAUCGGUAGUGUCUCAUACUAGGGCGGGAAGACCAUCCAAUUAUUUGAUCAUUAUUGAGGCGUUCAUAACUUCCUUCGAAUAGAACAUUUGGAACCCCAUUAGGAGUUGUUCCUACCUCUAGAAAAAUCACCAAACAUCGAGAGUCCCUUCCCAAGUUGUGAUACCAAAUAUGUUGUAUCUCGCCAUCUAUUCAAGGAAGAACAUGUCAUUCUUGAAGAUCUUCAUCUCGAUUACGUCGUCUUGAAGGUUGUAAUAAUUAUAAUGUCUCGUUUGGCAGGUCAGCAAAUGAAGGCUCUUUAGUCGAAUCCGCUGGUUGUUGGUUCUCCAUCUCCUGAGCGUAACAUCUACAAAGAAGCUACAAACAAGGAUUGAAAGUAGAAUAUUAUCUUGCCUAAAUUUUGUUUAUUUUAUAAAGAAGGUUUUUAUCUUGAUGGAUGUCAUCGAUAAAAAGCCUCCACCACCUUUGCUACAUUUGCAAGAUUCUUUAUUGGCUCCCAUGUGCGUUCACCAAUAUCAUAUCCGUAAUAAUAGACAAGACAUUCUAAUUUAUUUUGGCACCGCCUUGAAUCUAAGACUUCUUCUACUUCAAACUCUUCCUUAUUUUCUACUUCUAUAGGAGGAGGUGGAGCUUGUCAUCUUCUUAGUAUGUGUCACGGCCAUAAUCAUGUAAGCUAAUAAUUACAUAUGGAAAUAGAUAGUAAAAGUAGAUAAAAGUAAGUUAAUUCUAUAAUAUUUAAUAUAGAAGCUUCCUAGAAACUUCCUAGACGCUGCUUUGACUUCAUAGGUGUCUUUAAUUGACUUUUUGGAUUAGAAACGUGGUCAACAAGUUGGCCAUGUGCCACACAUGUUGUUAGCUUGAAGAUCAAGCUAACUAUGUGGCCCACACGUAGAAAAACUUGCCUUGUAAGUCAAGGCAUGUGUUCUACAAAGUCAACACAUAUUGGAGGUCCUAUAGAACGUCGCCACGUAGCCUCUAGUUAGAUAGUAUAUAUAGAGACAAGAGUGAAGGCUUCUUCACUCUUGUCAACUCCUUUCUUGCUCCUAGUCCAGGUUCAAGAGUCUUUAGUUUCUUGUCUUGUGGCAAUAGCCAUUCCAGUUUCUUUUUAAUAUACAUACUUAUUAUUCAUAUUUUGUUACUUUUCUUUGAGUGAAGGCUUACUUGUCUGAACUGUUUUUUCAUCGAGUUCUUGUCCUUGACAGAUUGAUAAGAGUGUACUUACAAUAUCAGAGCUUUGUUUUUCUUGAGUAAGAGUGGAUUACCUCUUUCUCUUGACAAGGCAUAAGUGUAUUAGAAGUUUGCGGAUUACCCACUUCUAAACUGAUAUUGUUCUUAGUAUCUUCUUUGUUAUCAAGUCUUUCUUUUCUUUUGUCUUGAGCAGUAUCAAACAAAUUUUUCUUCUUAGUGUCAUUAUGGCAGAGCUUGUUGAAAUGAAGAGUGCAAUGGCACAAAUGCAAGAGCAAAUGAGGGAGUUAAUGCUUGCGAUGCAUCAACUCAAUUCACCAACACAGGAAAGAACAAGAAUAGCAGAAAGUGGAGAUAUAGAGAUGAUCGGAGCUGCUUCAACAUCUACAACAAAUCACGUUCCUUCUCCAAUUGUACAACACCCUGUAAGCAUUAGAGAACCAAGAAUUGCCUUACCCGAGAAAUUUGAUGGUGCGAGAUUUAAGUUUCGAGGGUUCAUCAAUCAAGUACAAUUGACAAUUGAACUUCAACCGCAAAGCUAUCCAACUCCAGGAUCACAAGUCAGGUUUAUUGGCACUCUACUUUCUGGUUCUGCAUUAUCGUGGUUUUCAUCUUUUCUUGAACAACGAAAUCCAAUAUUGGACAAUUUGGAAGCCUUUUUGGCGGAGUUUCGAUCUAUGUAUGGUGAAUACGAUGCAACACGUGUUGCAACAAAUAAGAUUUGAAUUCUGCGACAAGAAAAUCGCUCAGUAACGAUGUAUGCUUCACAAUUUCGAUAACUUGCAAUUGACAUCAAGUGGGAUGAUGCUGCACUUAUCAGUCAAUUUCUUUAUGGAUUGCAAUACGAAGUAAAGAAAUUGAUGCUCAACUUACAUGAUCCUCAAACUUUGAGUCAAGCAAUCGAUUUUGCGAUAAAAUGUGAUAAUCAACUUUUUGAAUUUCGAUCCGAGAAUCAUUCACGGGAACCUCAACGUUAUUACUCAAUGGCAACAUCAACAUCUUUGCCAAACAUACAUUCGGAAGUAGAAUACAUGCAAAUUGACGCAGUACGUUUUAAACCCCUAACUGAGCAAGAAAAGAUUCGUCGUCGUCAAGAAGGAUUAUGUUUAUAUUGCGGAGAACCUAAGCACACUGCUCAACAUUGUCCAAAGAAACGACGCAACUAUAAAAUGAAGGGUACGACGGUCAAAGAAGACAACAUGUCGGAAAAUGGAUUCGUCCACCUACAAUAGAGACCGUGCAGUUGGAACCUUAUACAAUUCCUAAUGAAGGUCCUAUCCUCUCCUCAGAACCCUCUCCUUGUUUUAUAAUAGACUUAUAUUUAGGACCUAAGAAUUACAAAGCCUCUGCUUUAUUAGAUUCGGGAGCCUCAGCAUGUUUUUUAGAUGAACAAUUUGUUAAAAGUCGUAAAAUAUCCUUUGUACAGAAACCUAAACCAGUACAUGUAGAAGUCAUAGAUGGUCGUCUCUUGUCUUCUGGAGAUGUCACUCAUGAAACUCAUCCUAUAAAAGUAACAAUAGACGGUCAUGAUAGCUACAUAGCUUUUAACAUAAUUAAAUCCCCGUCCAAUCCAAUUAUUUUAGGUUUAUCCUGGCUAGAAAAAUAUAACCCUCGAAUAGAUUGGAAUUUACGUAAACUUGACUUUUCCCAGAGCAUUAUUAAUAGUUCUACCAACCAAGUAAAAAAUUAUAAGUCUAGUAUAGUAAAACCCGUACUGAUAGGUGCAAAAGCAUUUAUACACGCAGCAAAAGAAGGAUCAACUUUUGCUAUUUAUGCUGCACCUAUUUUUGAAAACGUAAAGACUUCAAGUGGCAUUCUAAGUCAAUAUCAGGAGUAUCAAGACGUUUUUGAGAAAAAGAAUGCAGAUAUUCUUCCCGAGCAUCGCCCAUAUGAUUGUUCAAUCGACCUCAAGGAAGGAACUCAGCCACCAUUUGGACCAAUUUACAAUUUAUCGCAAGAUGAGAUGGCUGAACUCAAGACAUAUAUUGACGAGAAUUUAGCGAAGAAUUUUAUACGCCAUUCAAAAUCUCCAGCAGGAGCUCCAAUUCUAUUCGUAAAGAAAAAAGAUGGAUCUUGACGAAUGUGUGUUGAUUAUCGAGGACUCAACAAGAUCACAAUCAAGAACAGGUAUCCAUUACCUUUGAUAUCAAGACUCCUUGACCAGUUGAAUCAAGCUAAGAUCUAUACAAAAAUAGAUCUAAGAGGAGCAUAUAAUCUAGUACGGAUCAAAGAAGGAGAUGAAUGGAAGACUGCGUUUCGAACCAGGUAUGGACAUUUCGAAUAUAAUGUCAUGCCCUUUGGACUCACGAAUGCAUCAGCUGCUUUUCAACAUCUCAUAAAUGAUGUAUUUCGUGAAUUCUUAGAUAAUUUUGUCAUCUGCUAUCUAGACGAUAUCCUGAUCUAUUCUAAGAACGUCAAAGAACAUGAAAUAUAUGUUCGUCAAGUAUUACAAAAACUUAGAGAUGCAGGAUUGUAUGCCAAGAUGGAAAAGUGUGUAUUUCACACUACUCAAGUUGACUUUUUAGGAUACAUCAUUUCAAAUGAUGGUCUCAUGAUAGAUUCUAAGAAAGUCCAGACAAUCAUGAAUUGGAAGAUUCCAAGGACAGUAAGAGAUGUCCAAUGUUUCUUGGGAUUUGCGAAUUACUAUCGGAUCUUCAUCAAAGAUUUCUCACGAGUUGCAACUCCACUUACACGCUUGACUAGUAAAGAUAAAUUCCAAUAGAAUCAAGAAGCGGAAGCGACAUUUGAAGCCUUGAAGACAUCGUUUGUCUCUGCACCAGUCUUAUAUCGUGUUGACUUUUCCAAGGCAUUUUUUAUGGAAACAGAUACAUCAGAUUUUGCCUUGGAUGCAGUUUUAUCACAAAUGGGAUCAGAUGACAAACUUCAUCUGAUAGCUUUUCAUUCAAGAAAAUUCUCAGCAGUCGAGAUCAAUUAUGAGAUCCACGAUAAAGAACUUCUUGCGAUCGUGGAUUCUUUUCAAGAAUGGCGUCAUUAUCUAGAAGGCGCUUCUAGUCCAGUCACUGUGUAUACAGAUCACAAGAACCUCGAGUAUUUCAUGUCAGCACGCGUAUUGAAUCGUCGUCAAGCUUGUUGGAGUAUGUCUUUGUCAAGAUUCGAGUUCAUUAUCACUUAUCGACCAAGAAAACAGCAAGGUUUGUCCGAUGCCCUAUCUAGACGUUCUUAUUUUGCACCAAAAGAAGGAGAUGCAGCUUUUGAGCAACAAAGAACGGUCUUCUUGAAACCGGAGCAAUUUCAUCUCCGAGCAAUGAAAUCAACAUUGACUGUUGAUUCAACUUUUUUCAAGCAAAUCCAGUCCAGUAUGUCCUCAGACCCUCUUGUUCAUGAUAUCGAGAAUAAUUCUUCCAAGUCUCAUGAUCCUUCUAAAUUCGAGUUCAAGAAUAAUCUAUUAUAUUUCGAAGGACGUCUAUAUGUUCCAAAAGGAGAAGCACGUUUAUGUGUUCUCCAAGCACGUCAUGACUUUCGAGCAGCAGGGCACUUUGAAACUCAUAUCAAGAGAUUUUUGGUGGCCACAAAUGUAGAAGUCAGUCAAAGACUUUGUACAAUCAUGUGAUAUUUGUUCAAGAUCAAAAAUUCCUUGUCAUCGACCUUAUGGACUUCUUCAGCCAUUACCUAUACCAGAACAACUAUGGUCUUCUGUUUCUAUGGAUUUCAUCACAGAUCUUCCAAGCUCAAGAUGUUAUGAUUCUAUACUUGUGAUAGUAGAUCGUUUCAUCAAGAUGGCACAUUUUGUGCCAUAUACAAAAUCUAUCAUAGGUGAAGAAACAGCUAAGCUUUUCAUUGAUAAUAUCUAUUGCUACUAUGGAUUACCUAAAGAUAUCAUAUCCGAUAGGGGAACUCAAUUUGUGUCAAGAUUCUGGAGGACCCUUUUCAAGAUUUUAAAAGUGGACAUCAAGCUAUCUUCGGCUUUCCAUCCUCAAACUGAUGGACAAAUAGAGCGCGUAAACCAAGUCUUGGAGCAAUAUUUAAGGUGUACUAUCAAUUACCAACAAGAUGAUUGGACAACCCUUCUGCCAUUGGCAGAGUUUGCUUAUAAUAAUACGAUACAUUCUUCCACGCAACAAACACCUUUCUUUGCCAAUUAUGGCUAUCAUCCACGACUUGAUACUUUUGAUUUUUCAAAAGUUGAUAAUCCUGCAGCAGAAGAUAUGGCAAAUUGGUUGUCAGAGUUACAUGCAAUAAUGAAGACGCAAUUGAAGGAAGCUCAAGAACGACAAAAGAUAAACGCAGAUCUAUAUCGUAAGGAGCAACCACACAUCAACGUCGGUGAUAAGAUGGAGAGCCAACAACCAGCAGAUUCAACUCAAGAACCUUCGUUUGCUGACCUGCCGGACGAGACAUUACGAUUGUCACAACCUUCAAGACGACGCAAUCGAGAUGAAGAUCUUCAAGAACGACAUGUUCUUCCUCGAACAGAUGGUGAGAUACAACGCGUUUGGUAUCACGAUUUGGGAAGGGACUCCCGAUGUUUGGUGAUUUUGCUAGAGGUAGGAACAACUCCUGAUGGUGUUCCGAAUAUUCUAUUCGAAGGAAGUUAUGAAGGCCUCAAUAAUGAUCAAAUAACUGGGUGGUCUUCCCGCCCUGGUAUGGGACACUACCGAUGGUUGAGAGGCCCUAUCAAUCAUCUUCGAAGAGAACAGAGAUCAGAGUAUGUGGCGAAUACAAUUCGUCGCAUCAUAGAUUUCCUCAACAUAUGAUGACCGCUCCUCGUGGAACUCGUCUCUAGAAGGGGGGGUAAUGUCACGGCCAUAAUCAUGUAAGCUAAUAAUUACAUAUAGAAAUAAGUAGAAGUAAGUAAAAGUAGAUAAAAGUAAGUUAAUUGUAUAAUAUUUAAUAUAGAAGCUUCCUAGAAACUUCUUAGACGCUGCUUUGACUUCAUAGGUGUCUUUAAUUGACUUUUUGGAUUAGAAACGUGGUCAACAAGUUGGCCAUGUGCCACACAUGUUGUUAGCUUGAAGAUCAAGCUAACUAUGUGGCCUACACGUAGAAAAACUUGCCUUGUAAGUCAAGGCAUGUAUUCUACAAAGUCAACACAUAUUGGAGGUCCUAUAGAACGUCGCCACGUAGCCUCUAGUUAGAUAGUAUAUAUAGAGACAAGAGUAAAGGCUUCUUCACUCUUGUCAACUCCUUUCUUGCUCCUAGUCCAGGUUCAAGAGUCUUUAGUUUCUUGUCUUGUGGCAAUAGCCAUUCCAGUUUCCUUUUAAUAUACAUACUUAUUAUUCAUAUUUUGUUACUUUUCUUUGAGUGAAGGCUUACUUGUCUGAACUGUUUUUUCAUCGAGUUCUUGUCCUUGACAGUAUGUCCACUGUCUUGUAUGGUUCAAGAAGAGACACAUGGAAUACUGGAUGGAUUUUCAUUGACUCCGAUAGAUGUAAACGAUAUGCAACUAGAUUGAUUUGUACAGAAAUAGAAAAUGGUCCAAGCCUUCAAUAGUCCAACUUAUCACAAGGACGAGUGGUCUUGAUAUUGCAAAGAAGUAGCCAUACUUUAUCACCCAAGUAAAAUGGUGGUUGUUCGUUUCGAUAGACAUCCGCAUUGAUCUUUUGUUGUUCUUGAGCCUCUUUUAACUGCGCCUUCAUUGUUGCAUGUAGCUCUGACAAAUGAAUCGCCAUAUCUUUUGCAGUAGGAUUAUCAACUUUUGAAAAGUCAAAAGUAUCAAGUCGUAGAUGAUAACCAUAAUUAACAAAGAAAAGUGUUUGUUUUAUAGAAAAAUGUACUAUAUUAUUGUAAGCAAACUCUGCCAAUGGUAAAAGAGUUAUCCAAUCAUCUUAUUGGUAGUUGAUGGUACAUCUUAAAUAUUGCUCCAAAACUUGAUUAACACACUCCGUUUGUCCAUCAGUUUGAGGAUGGAAUGUUGAAGAUAGUUUUAUAUCCACUUUUAGAAUCUUGAAAAGAGCUUGUCAAAAUCUUGAUACAAAUUGAGUUCCCCUAUCUGAUAUAAUAUCCUUGCGUAAUCCAUGAUAGGGAUAGAUAUUGUCAAGAAAGAGCUUAGUUGUUUCUUAACCUAUAAUAGCUUUUGUACAUGGUACAAAAUGUGCCAUCUUGGUAAAAAAAUCCACUAUCAUGAAUAUACAGUCAUAAGAACCUGAGAUUGGAAGAUCCGUGAUAAAGUCCACAGAAAUAGAAGACCAUGGUUGUUCUAGAAUGGAUAAUGGCUGAAGAAGUCCAAAAGGUUGAUGAUGAGGAGUUUUUGAUCUUGAGCAAAUAUCACAUGAUUGUACAAAAUCUUUGACUACCUUCCAUAUUUGAGGCCACGAAAAAUCCCUAGAUAUCAGCUCCAAAGCCUUAUUGUAUCCAAAAUGUCCUACUGCUGGGAAGUCGUGAUGAGCUUGAAGAAUAUGUAAACGAGCUUCUCCUUCUAGAACAUAUAGACGUCCUUCAAUAUAGAGUAGGUUGUUUUUGAACUCGAAUUUAGAGAGAUCAUGAGAUUUAAAAGAAUUAUUCUUGAUAUCAUGAACAAGAGGGUCUAAAGACAUACUUAACUGGACUUGCUUAAGAAAUGUUAAAUCAACAGUCAAUGUUGAUUUUAUUGCUUGAAGAUGAAAUUGCUCGAGCUUCAAAAGAAUCAUUUUUUAUUGCUCAAAAGCAGCAUCUCCUUCUUUUGGUAUAAGAUAAGAACGUCUAGACAAGGCAUUAGAUAAACCUUAUUGUUUUUCUAACCGAUAAGUGAUGAUGAACUCGAAUCUUGAUAAAGACAUGCUCUAACGAGCUUUACGACGAUUUAAUAUGCGUCUUAAGAUGAAAUACUUGAGGUUCUUGUGAUCCAUAUACAUGGUGACUGGUCUUGAAGCGCCUUCUAAAUAAUGAUGCCAUUCUUGAAAAGAAUCCAUAAUUGCAAGAAGUUCUUUGUCAUGGAUCUCAUAAUUGAUUUUUGCUGCUGAGAAUUUUCUUGAAUGAAAGGCUACUGGAUGAAGUUUGUCAUUUGUUCCCAUUUGUGACAAAACCGCAUCCAGAAGAAAGUCUGUUGCAUCUGUUUCCAUAAAGAAUGCUUUGAAAAAAUCAACACGAUACAAGAUUGGUGCAAAAACAAACGCUGUCUCCAAAGAUUCAAAAACAACUUCCACUUCUUGAUUCUAUUGGAGUUUGUUUUUAUAAGUCAAACGUAUAAUUGGAGCUACAACUCGAGAGAAGUCUUUGAUGAAGAUCAGAUAGUAGUUGGUAAAUUCCAAAAAGCAUUGGACAUCUCUUACCAUUUUUGGGAUCUUCUAGUCUAUAAUAGUUUGAACUUUCUUAGGAUCCAUCAUAAGUCCAUCAUUUGAAAUGAUGUAACCUAAGAAAUCGACUUGAGUAGUAUAGAAUAUACACUUUUUUAUCUUGGCAUAGAGUCCUGCAUCUCUUAAUUUUUGUAACACAUGACGAAUAUGAAGUUCAUGUUCUUCUAGAUUUUUAGAAUAGAUCAAGAUGUCGUCUAGAUAACAGAUCACAAAAUUAUCAAAAAGCUUUCAAAAAUAUCAUUCAUUAGAUGUUGAAAAGCUGCUGGUGUAUUUGUAAGUCCAAAAGGCAUGACGUUAUAUCCAAAAUGUCCAUACCUAGUUCAAAACUCAGUCUUCCAUUCAUCUCCUUCUUUGGUGCGUACUAGAUUGUAUGCUCCCUAGAGAUCUAUUUUUGUAUAGAUUUUAGCUUGAUUCAGCUGAUCAAGAAGUUCAGAUAUUAAAAGUAGUGGAUACGUGUUCCUAAUGGUAAUCUUCUUCAGUCCUUGAUAAUCAACACACAUCUGCAAUGAUCCAUCUUUUUUCUUCACAAAUAAAAUUGGAGCUCCUGCUGGAGAUUUAGAAUGGCAUAUGAAAUUCUUGGCUAGAUUUUCUUCAAUAUACUCCUUGAGUUCAGUCUACUCAUUUUGUGAUAAACUGUAGAUUGGUCCAAAUGACAGUUGUGCUCUUUCUUGAAGGUCAAUUGAGCAAUCAUAGGAAUGAUGUUUCGGGAGUGUAUCCGCAUUUUUUUUUUCGAAUACAUCUUGAAAUUCUUGAUAUUGGCUUGGAAUGCCACUUGAAGUCUUUUCACCAGUAGAAACAGGUGUGGCAUAAAUAAUAUAUGGUGAUUCUUUCAUAGCAACAUGUAAGAAAGCUUUUGCACCUAUAAAUACGGGUUUAAUUGAACUGGACUUAUGACUCUCUAUUUGAUUAAUUACACUGUUAGUUAUACUUUUAGAGAAAAUAAGAGUUCGAGAAAUCUAAUCUAUUUGAGGGUUGUAUUUUUCUAACCACGAUAAAUCUAAAAUAACUGGAUUGGAGGGAGAUCUAAUGAUAUUAAAUACUACAAAGCUAUUAUGACCAUUGAUUAUUACUUCUAUAGGAAGGAUUUCGUGAAUAAUAUCUCCAGAAGAUAAUGGAUGACCAUCUAUGACUUCUACAUGAACAGGUUUAGUUUUCUUUACUAAAGAUAUGUUAUGUCUUUUUAUAAAUUCUUCAUCUAAAAAACACGCUGAGAUUCUUGAAUCAAACAAGGCAGAGGCUUUGUAAUAUUGAGGUCCUAAAAUAAUAUUUAAUGUAAAACAAGAAGAGGGCUCUAAGGAGUGAAUAGGGCCUUUACUAGAUGUUGUCCAAGGUUCCAACCGCACGAUCCCUAUUGUAGCUGGACAAAUUCAUUUUCCUACAUAUUGUCUUCUUUGACAGCCAUACUCCUCAUUUUAUGAUUGCAUCAUUUUUUUGGACAAUGUUGAGCAGUGUGCUUUGAUUCUCCAUAAUAUAAAUAUAAUCGUUUUUGACACCAACGAGUCUUUUCUUGCUCAAUAAGACGUUUGAAACGUACUGCAUCAAUUUGGUAUCCUCUACUUCCGAGUUAGUAUUGCCAUUGAAUUAUAGUAACGUUGAAAUCCACUUAUAUGGUUCUCAGAUCGGAAUUCAAAGAGGCAAUUGUCGCACUUCAGAGCAAAGUCAAUUGCUUGAUUCAAUGUUUGAGGUUCACGUAAGUUGAGCAUUAAUUUUUUUACCUCAUAUUAUAAUCCAUAGAGAAAUUGGCUAAUAAGUUCAGCAUCAUUCCACUUGAUAUCAAUUGUAAGUUGUCAAAAUUAUGAAGCACACAACGUUAUUGAUCGAUUAUCUUAUCAUAAAAUACUGAUCUUUUUGGUUGCAACACGAAUUAUAUCUUGUUCUCCAUAAAUGGAUCGAAACUUUGCCAGAAAAGCCUCUAUAUUAUCCAAUAUUGGAUCUUUUCGUUCAAGAAAAGAUGAAAACCAUGAUAGUGCUGAACCUCAAAGAAGUGUACCAAUGAAUCUAACUUGCAAUCCUACAGUUGGAUAGUUUUGGGGUUGAAGUUCAAUCACAAGUUGCACUUGAUUGAUAAAUCCUUAAAACUUAAAUUUGGUGCCAUCAAACUUCUUGGGUAGGGCAAUUCUUAGGUCUCUAAUACUAGAAGGGUAUUCCACCAUAGGACAAAGGAUAUGGUUUGGUGCAGAUGUUGAAGCAGCUCCAACCAUUUCUAUAUCUUCACUUCUUGACAAUCUUGUUACUCCUCGUGGUUGUAAAUUGAAUUGAUGCAUCGCAAGCAAUAACUCACUCAAAUGGUCUUGCAUUUUUGCUAAUGUAUUCUUCAUUUCAACAAGUUCUACCAUGAUAAUACUUAGAAAAAAAAAAGAUGUGUAAUAUCGCUCAAGACAAAUAGAAGAGAGGGCUUGAGAACAAAGAAAAUACUAAGGACAAUAUCAGUUUAGAAGAGGGUAAUCCGCAACUUCUAAUAUACUUAUAUGUUAUCAAGAAAAAGGGGUAAUCCACUCUUAAUCAAGAUAAGACAAAGCUCUGAUAUUGUAGGUGUACUCUUAUCAAUCUGUCAAGGACAAAAACUCGAUGAAAAAACAAUCCAGCCAAGUGAGCCUUCACUCAAAGAAAAGAAACAAAAUAUAAAUAAAUAAGUAUGUAUAUUGAAAGAGAAACUAGAAUGGCUAUUGCCAAAAGACAAGAAAACUAGAAAUCCUUGAAAUUAGACUAGAAGCAAGAAAAGAAUCGACAAGAGUGAAGAAGGCUUCACUAAUGUCUCUAUAUAUACUAUCUAGCUAAGAGCUACGUGGCGACGUUCUAUAAGACCUCCAAUAUGUGUUGACUUUGUAGGAUACAUGCCUGGACUUACAAGGCAAGUUUUUCUAAGUGUGGGCCACAUAGUUACCUUUAUAUUUAACCUAACAAUAUGUGUGGCACAUGGCCAACUUAUUGUCCACGAUUCUAAUCCAAAAAGUCAAUAAAAGAUACUUAUGAAGUCAAAGCAGCGUCUAUGAAGCUUCCAAAAAUCUUCUAUAUUAAAUACUAUAGAAUUAACUUACUUUUACCUACUUUUACUUACUUCUACCUAUUUCUAUAUGUAAUUACUAGCUUAUAUGAGUAUGUCUGUAAUAACUAGGUGGCAAACAAAACAACAGCAAGAAUAAAUAGAUAUCUUUAGGAUUAAGCAAAAGAAAAUUAGAAUAAAUUUAAAAUAAAAAAUUAAAAGAAAAAAAUACAAAAAAGUGAAGAUUUAGAAGUAUAUUUAGAGGUAGUGGUUCCAACAAUAAUAGCACAUGACUUGAUAAUGGCCUCUAGAGGAAUUUACAUAAAAAUAAGGUCCUUCUCCUGACUUCUUUUCUAUGGCACAACUUUGUUCAUAACUUGUGUCUCCAUCACUAUGAAGUUGAAUCAGAUAACAUCACCCUCAAUAUGAUAUUUAUCAUUGGAUAAUUCAUGGUCAUCUUUGAAAGUAAACUAUAGAGAUGGUUCCAUCUUAUGAAGAAGCAAAAAGAUGUGGAAGUGGUGUGUUUGAAGGAGAUAGGAAUGUUAGAAGUAAAAACAACAAAAAGAGUUUAAAUCCAUGGCUAAUUUCAAAAAACAUAAUGAGACAAUAACAUUCAUCAAUGAAGCCAACUAAUCUUUGAAAAUCCAAAAAUUGUAUGUUAAAGCAUACAUUUGCACAUCUAUCCAAAUGGCUUGUGAUUCAAGCAUGAAAAAGAAUAUAGGUGCAUUAUAGAAGAAUGCAUAAGCAAAUUCAAAAAUGGCCUCCAAGUAAGCCUUGACAUAUCGAAUCUACUUUGAAAUGGUAUAGGAUUAAGAGGAGAUGUUCAGGACUCGAAAUUUUUAUUUGUAGGUCUACAACAAGGAGGUGAAUCCACUAUAGAAGCAUAAUGCAAAAUACAUUUGUAUUCGUUUAUUUGUUCUAACUUGUCAAUACAAAAAAAAAUAAUAAAUAAUAAAAAUAUUAUAAUAUAAUAUAUAUUAUGUAGAAAAUUGCUAAAAAAGAGAAAUAUGUCUUGUUCAUAAAAUUAUACAUUUCAACCAUAAGGGAGUAUAUAAGCCCAACUUCCAUGAACUUGAAUAUAAAAAUGUUCUUAAUCAAAACACUUAUUAGAGUAGCUAUAGAGAAGGAGCUCACACCAACUUGCAAGGUUUAUUUUUUUGCCUAAAUUUGGACUUGAGAAGCUUGCAUAAUUGAGGUACACUGAGUAGAAAAAAUUUCCAUUGCCAUCUUUAUGAUUUAUACUACUAUAAAUGCUAUGUUAGUACUAAUAUGGGUGAUUGCCACUGAAGCACUUUUUUGAGUCUUCGAGGCUUUUGAAGCCUUCAAGGCCUUUAGAAUCUUUAGAGCCUUUAGAGCCUUCAGAUCAAAUAACAAUGCAUUCUACUUUCCAAUUUGAAUGGCUUCUUUUUCAAUAGUAAUCUCAAGAGCCUCCAAAAUAUCAUUAAUACCAUCUUCUAAGAUAAUCGCAGCUCCCUUGCCACUUAGCUAUAGCUUUUUUUUUUCCUCCUCUAUAAUGAAAUCUUUGAAAGGCAUUCCAAAUACCACAGUCCACUCUACAAAUGAGAAAGCAAUGACUUCAUCACUUUUACUAGGAUGUAGAUACAAAGUAGAGACCUUUGUUUAUUAAUGUAGAUAGAUACAUCAAUAAUACUUACAAAAACACAACAUUCUUAGAUACCAACUUUUUACACAAGUAUUUAUACAAGAAAAUGAAUGAAAAUUUGCUAAAAAAUACAUGAAGAAGAUGAAAAAAAAUAAAAAGUCAGAUAUUAACUUGAUGACCACCGUUUGAUGGUCAGACCACCAGUUGGUAUGUCCUCAAGAACGGGAGCUUUGAUAAAAGCACUAUUACUUUAGAAAAAUGAGAUGAAUGUAUUUUUUCAAAGUAUGAUCCUCCACUACUCAAUAUAAUCUCCAAUCUUGAAAUUUUAGAAUAUAAAAUUCUAAUGGAUGUAAUUGAAGUUGAAAAGCAUCUCUUCAAACUCUUGAACUAAUACAUGUUCCAACUACAAGGAUUGUAAAAUAAGUGCAUCAUUAAUCAAAUAGAAAAUAAGAAAAAUAAAAAUGAAAAGAAAGUGAGAAGACUAAUCUAGGCCCAAAAGUUAGUUUGAAUGAGCUAUUAGUCCAAAACUAUUUUUUUCAUAGGUCUAAUAAAGAAACACAAUGAUGAAGGGGCAAAGGUAGAAGAAUUCUACCACUAGAGUCACCUCACUUUGAAAUUAGAAUUCAUGAUAGUAAUUACAAUCUUGUGGAUUUCUUUGAGUCAUAUCAGUCUUUGUCACAAUAUUCCAAUAUUUUGAAAUUUGUACCAAUUUUUUUUUAAUAUUAUAAAGAAGAUAAUAAAGAAUAUUGACAUGAUGGCAUUGCAAAAAAAAUAAUUAAUGUGAGUUAUCAAAUUUACUCAUUAAUUAUUUUAGGAUAAAAAGAUGUAUUUAGAGUACUUUAAACCACAAUAUAUAGUGAGUAGUAUAGAAAUCUUUAGUCAAAUAGAAAAUUAGAAUGUUAGUUGUAAAAAUGGAAUCCUAGUAAGUCUUGGAGAUAAAUAUCUUAGUUGAUUUAAUAUUUUUACUUAUUAUUGAAUAUCAAGGAUUAUUUAUUAAGAUUAAUAUUUAUAUUGGCCUUAUAUCUAUAUGUAGUACUUAUAAAUAAAAUUAUAAAUAUCAGUUAAUAAUUAAAAAAUAACAUGAAAAAAAAAGCUCAUAUCUUUUUAGUUAGUUAUAUAAGAAAUAGGAUUUAUAGUUGAUUUAAAUUGAUUUUAAUAUUAUAAAAAAUAAUAAAGCUAGAAAAAUAUAGCUUUAAAUUUAUAUUUAUAUUAUAGAAAAUUUAUAGGAAUUUUUUUAAUUUAUUUAGAAUUUAUUUUUAAAAUUUAGACUUUGAUAAAAAUAAAUUUUACUACCAUGGGAUCCAUUAUGAAGAAAUGGAAUAAGUUUUGAAGGCCACACAAGGUUUCUAUGCUAAUUGGGUGUUUUUAAACACCAUGGUGGAGUCAAAAAUGCAAAAAUAUUGAUUUUAUUAGUAGAAAAUAGGAGGGCCAGCAGCUAGUAUAGUUCUUGUGAGAAGGUAGGUGCACAAGUUCCAUAUGGAUUGUAGCACCUUGAAGGUAGUUAGGAGGAUAAGACUAUGGCCUUACGGCUUCUCUUAGAUACCCAUAUAUACUACUUAUGAGUCUUGGUGAAGUUCAAACUCUUGAUCUCUUAAUCAAGUUAUCCUUGAGGUAAAAAUUAUUUAUUUAAUUUUUUUUUGUUUAUCUUUUAGCUUUAACCUUUUAUAACUUAUUCAUAAUAAUUUGGAUUUACAUGUUUCUUAUACUAUUGAAAAGAUAAUAUAAUUAAAUUUCUAAAAAUAUAUAUAUAUAUUUUUUAUUUUUUUAUUUUUUAUCAAGUAAAAACUUAGUGAAUAGACUUUACUAUUGUUCUAGUAUACAAUUGCUUAAUUGCACUUGUUUCACUUGUUUUUGUAUUAUACUUCUUUUGUUCUUGCUACUUCCACUUUACACCACCAAUUACAAGCAACUCUUAAUUGAGGCCAUCUUAUAAUUUGGAUUGAGGGAUAGAAUUUAUCUUCACAUUUUGGUACAUUUUCUAGGACGUGGUGCUUCUAAUUGUGUGUGUAAAUGUGAAGUGAGUUGAUUUUAAUUGACCUUUUGUAUAGAUUAUUUGAGUGAUUAUUUCAAAUCUAUUUUCUAUCAUUGGUAAAUAUUUUAUCUUUCUUCAUUUUUUUUAUAAAAAUAUCUCUUUUAAUUAUAUAAUCAAAAGAUAUUUAAAAAAAAAAAAAGAAAAGAAAAGAAAAAAAAACCAUGGAUAGGUAGAGAGUGAUUUUCUCUCGGAUUUUCAUCAAUCAGUUUUUAUGUAAUUGUUAUUUCACUUUGGAACUUUGUAAAGUUGUGUAUCUUGGUGUUAUCUUUUUAAAAAGCUACUGCAUGUUUGAAUUGGACUAAAAUUGAAUUUUAAGUGAAUUUUUGAUUAAAAAAGGAUUCACUGCCUUGGCAAUUUUAUAUACUCCAUGUUUGAAAAGGCAUUUCUUAGUGCUUGUUGAAUAUUUUAAAUUGAAUUACUUUGGAGUAAAAAAAUCUGAAGGAUAAACUUGGAAUGGUGCAAUUUUUAUUGAAAUUACGUCAAUAUUCAAUUUUUGGUGAUUUUUGAAGUGAAGAGUAAGCUUGAAAGUUUUAAGGGUUCAUCAUCAAGGGUGGAGCUCAUCUUCAAGGAUCUUCACUAUCUUUCCUUGUAAUUUUUCUAAUUGAGGGUCUUUUUUAGUAAUAGGGAGAUUUAAUCACUCCAUCUAUUCUUGGUAUCAUUUCUUUUCAUCUUUGUAAAUUUUUAAUUGAAGGCUUUUCUCUAGUAAUAGGGAGAUUUAAUCACUCUCUCCACCCUUCAUAUCUCUUCUAUUCACAAGAAGUAGUAUAGUAGGAGCUUAACAAGAAAUUCAAGAAAAUUCUUCAUCAACAAGGAAAGAAAAGAUCAAUAAGUUUAAGUCAUAAAUCUAAGGUGAAUAUACUUUUUAACAACUUUUAUUGAGUUUUAAUUUAUUUUGCUAAUAUAGAUUGUGGUUUAAGGAGAAAGAGCUCAAAAAGAAAGAAGAAUGACAUUAAUAGUUUGCAAGCAAGUAAGUCUUUGAAUCCUUGUCAAUUAUUUCUUUUUUUGAAAUUUUAGCAAAUUACUUGAGUAUAAGAAGCUGGAAUUAGAAUUUGGAGGAUAGAAUCUAAGAAAAAGAGGCAAGAAGAGGUUCCCUUUUAAACUUUUUUAUAGAUUUUUUCAAAUGGGAUCAAUAGAGCCUUAGGACCGUUUACUAUUCCAUUCUAAAAAUAGAUUUUCAAACCAUUUAGUUAGAAUCGAAUAGGAAAAAAAUCACAUUAGAAAUUCUUUAAAUUGUGUCAAGUUGGCUACAGAUAUGACGAGCUAAGUCCUUCUUCAAAGUGAUAUAAUUAUUUUACAAAGAACAAUUUUUAUCUAAUAAACAACUGUUGUUAAUUGUUGUAGUGGAUAAUUCUUUAAUAGACUUGUUGUAAAAAAGUAGAAAGAAAAAAGAAGAGUUUGAACUUUCUGCCAUCUUGAUAUGGAAUUCCUUUUGAUAAUUAAGAUUGCUUAGAAUUUUUCAAAAAAUAUGAUAUAAUGUCGGAAACCUGUCAAAAAAAGUAUCAAAAAUAAAUCUUCUUUGGUUGUUCUUCGGUUGUGCAUAAGUACAUUCCACUUUUUCAAUCUAAAGCAUGAGAGAUUUGUUUUAACGAAGAAAAUUCCUUGGUAAUGAUCUGAAUUGUGGAGUUUUGAGACUUCAUCUGCCUGGAGCUAUUUUCUCAAAAAUUACAUGAAACUUGAGAAGAUGGAGCACUAUAGGUGCCUUCAGCCAACAAUGUCGCAUGUAGCCCUACAUAAGAUUCUUGCAAAUAAGAUCUCAUACCCAUAUGAUAGGUCAUCCUUAUUUGCUUCAACAACAUAAUGCCUGAAUCACAAUAUUUCUCACAUCAGUAGCUUUCGAAGUCCAUGUGUAAAUUCAUGUUAGUCAUUCCAUGGAGACAUUUUAAUUUCUUCAAGCAAGUUUUUGCAUUUGGUCUUCUGGAAGUGUCAAUCUACAAGCAAUCCCUUUGCAACUCUCUAACACUGGUUCACAAACCUUUUAUCCCACUACUCCUGAUUGUACCAUUAUCAUAAGUUAAAAGAAAAUAACUUGAAGAGGAAUUGUAGAAUAAGUAGUUAUUUUUAGAAUAUAGAUACCUAGUAUAUAGUGUAAACAUGGAUAGAUAACUGUUGAAAGGGUGGUUCAGUAGAUAGAAUAGAUGAAUAGAUAGAAAAAGUAGUUAUCAUCGUAAUAUAGGAGUUGGUAUCUCGGGGUUGUAUGAGGAGGAUGGGAGAGAAGAUGAAAAUACCAGACUGUGAUAGUCAUGAGCCGGGGAUAAGCUUGGUGCUAUCUCUUCCUCUUAGUUUUCUUCUUUCUUUUGUAUUAGUGUUGAUUCUAGUGAAGAGAAUCAAUUUUAUGAAUCAAUGUUUGAUUUAGGAAGUUGUUUAUGGAAGUUUCUAGUCACUAUUUAUUGCAAGGUUGUAAGUUUAGUAGAGAGGAAUUAUAAUUGAAUGAAUUGUCUUUAUCAAAUUCAAUGGAUUGGAAGUUAUUCAUUCUAGGAUUUGGAUUAGGCUUGUAUGUUUGUGAAUUACAUAGGGUACUGAAAUUGAUGUCAUGGUUGUUAUCAUAUUGAUAUGAAAGAGUGGACAGUAGGAAGAAAAUGUAAGUAUUCUUCGGUAUUGUAAGCAUUCAGCAGUAGCGGUUAAUUGUGUGACCCUAACAAUUGGAGCUCAUAUACAUGGUCUUUUCCUGUGUUCGAAUUCCCCUAUAUGGAUUUAUUCUGGUAGCAUCCUUUCAGAAUAAGUAAAAUGAUAAUCACAUUUUGGCGCCGCUACCCAAGAUUGACAACAUUAUUGGGUGUUAAGAAUUAUUUGCCAAAGCAGUAAAGGAGAUUAGGAAGCAAACUGAAUUAAAAUAAUGAAAGAGUAUGGUUAUUAAGAAUGAGAAUUUAACAACAAAGAGAAUAAAGCAAUCAAAGGAAAGAACAAAGAGAUCGCAAGUAAUAAAUUUGUUGCAUAGUAAGCGAGAUCACAAGUUGAAAAAAAAGCAUUGAUAAAGUUGGAUUAAGUCGUGGUUGUAUGCCUAUUGGCAUAUUUAAUCAUAUCUAGAAGGCAAUCGACCUCUAAUAUUUCAAAAGUAUACACCAUUAAAGAAAUUACUAAAAGCACUCGUGGGGAGCGCUGCUAAUAGUCCAGCAUACCUCUCGAAGCCGUUAACGGAAAGCGAGGAAGGCACAGAGGAAUUAGGUACUCCAUUGGGUAUUUUUUUAAUUAGAGAUAUGUCCGAUUCUAACAAGAUUGGUUUUGAAGAUUGGCAUGAAUCACUUGUCAAUAGAGACCAAUUUAGAGUAUAUCAAAAUCCAUUGUUUUUACCUCAUAUUCAACCAGUAAAAUUAUUUGGAGAUAAUAAUAGUCAAUCGAGAAGACCUGGAUGUCUGAAAAAGACUUUUGUGGGAGAAAUUUUUUAUUUUAAUAAGAAAUUGAGCGGAACACCAACAUCUUUAAUGGCAUUCGGAGGUUCAACGAUUCAAAUCGCAGUACAAAUGGGUGCGGCAAGAGAUCACACAACUAGCGUGGCUCUAUUACCUACCUUUAGAGGUUUACCAGGAGCCAAUCCAGAUCAACAUUUAUAACAAUUCUUGACUGCAUGUGUAGCCAAUAAUGGAAGAACUGAAGAUAUUUGGUUAAGAUGGUUGCCAGCAACAUUAAAAGACACACCAUUUGAGUGGUAUAACUGCCAACUUGUCGAAUCAUUUAUCAAUUGGAAGGCAUUGAAAAAUACAUUUUUAGUCCAUUUUCGACCAAUUGGUUUUGAAGAACAUCUUAGAGAAAAAUUAAUGAACAGCAAAAUGGUACCAGGGGAAGCGGUACAGUCAUAUUAUGAUUGUAUAGUAGAUAUACUUCAAAAAUGGCCAAAUAACCAAAUACCGAAAUUAUUUGUGUUGUCCAUAUUGGUUAAUGGACUACAUCCACCAGAAUUGAAGAUGUUUGUAAAAUGGGCCCAAUCAGCCACCAUUGCAUCAUUUCUUGAGCGAACAAAAGUAUGGGAAGAAUGUCACUAUGACCAAAAUUUAACAGUUGAAGCCAUGAUGAUUCCACCUCAAGGAGGUUAUCAAAUGACAAAUUGGAAUGACGCAUCGGAUAGUUAUCAAGGAAGGAAUGAUUAUGGUACAAUUCCAUAAGGAAUAGUGGAUGCCGUUCUAUUGCAGGCUGUACCACCAUCAUUAUCACAUCCGUAUGUGCCUUAUUUUGCAUAUCAAAAAUCAAUACCUACGAAGGAAUUUCCAAAUGCAUUGGUAUUAAGGGAUUCCAAUGAAUCAUUGUUGUUAACAUUGACGAAAAAAAUGGAUGAAUUGGCUAUGAAUCUUAUGAAGGACAAGGAAAAGAGAUAUAAACCAAGCAAUAUGCAUCCCAAUGUCUGGUGGAGUAAUUGUAAGGGGCAAGGUCAUUUAGUAACAGAAUAUCCUUCACCACCUUAAAUGAUUGUAUAUUAUACCUUUUCUGAGGGCAAGCAUAUUACCACCAACUGUUGGAAUUUAUGGAAGCAACAACAACUCAGUAACUAGAUAAUGAUCCAACCGUGGAACGAUAACCAAAUUCAUGGGACGUUAAGCAAAUUCAAAUAGAAAAUAGGUUUGGCUAGAAUGAGAAUCGUUUUAACAAGCCGAAUAGAAAAAAUUUUAAAUUUUAAAAUUUGGUAUACAAUCAAGAAUACGGAACCAAUGCUCAAAGAAUGGUACAAAAUCAAUAAGGAUAUUUCCAAUAUCAAUCCUUUCAGCAAUCAAAUUCGGAUUCCAAAGUACCAACUGGACAACCGGGAUCAUUUUUCCAUUCAACCUAGAACAUGCUGAGCUGGUAUAUCCUGAUAGAUACUCCCAAUAUUCCUGUCGGUGUUUAAAGGAAACCACUUUGAUGUUAAUGUUGAAGACAAAUUGGACAUUAUGCUAGUGAAUGUCCUAAUCUAAAAGCAAGCAAUGACUAUGCUCCCUCGUGUGGAAAUUAUAAGCAAUCAGGACAUACUUAUCAGCAGUGUAAUUCUCCAUUUAAUUUCAAUAAUUAAAACCAACAUAUUCAAUUGCAGAGUAAACUAGAGGAGAAUAAUCGAGAUUUAUUGGUAAACUGGGUGGAAUGCGUACAUACCAUGCUUACAAGGGUCCAAAAAAAAGAAAAAGAUCCAAUUCGACAAUUGGAGGAACCAAUUUCUAAGAGACAAUAAGACUCAAAUCUAAUAACCAUACUUAGAUCGUCAUCAACAUUGAGACCUGAAUAAUCAGAACAGCCCAAUGAUGGUUCUGACACGAGACUAUUGAUCCAACAUGAACCAAUUCUAUUACCCCCAAAAGACAAGGAGCAGCCUUACUCACUGAAAGACCCUCUCAGGGUGAAACAAUAUGAAAUAGCUUGUUCAGCUAUUCCGAUGUGUGAAUCUAUAAAGCAAGAUAAGCUAUUGACAAGAGUUAAAGUGAAGCCCACGAAAAAGAAAAGGGCUUUGAGAAUUACUACAAAUGUGGAACUGUAUGAUAUAUUGAAGGAUUUGGAUGAAAUCAAAUCGUCAAUCUCAAUGAAGCAACUAUUAGCGAUUAUGCCAGAAUGUCGUUCUAUGUUGAAUUCUUCAUUAAUACUACGAAGAACUUGGUCUUAAGAAGUUUGGGAAGUCAGCUUAAACCCCGAUCCAGGAGUACCGAUUAUUGAUGUAUCCAUCAAUGGAGUCUUUAUUUCUAGAGUUCAAGUGGAUCCGGGCUCAAGUGUAAAUUUAAUGACGGUGGAAACAAUAAAAAAUCUGGGUUUAAUUAAGUUGUUAUCCACGUUAUUUGUAUUAAGAAUGGCUGACUAUAAUCGAGUCAAGCCUAUGGAUAUUCUUUAUAGUAUUGACAUUGCUAUAGCAGAAAUUAUGUAUAAAAUUGAUUAUAUCAUUUUUACAUUAUAAAGUUCCACAUUAUCAUAUCCAAAUUUAUUGGGACGGCCAUGGUUAUACCAAGCUAAAGCUAAAAAUGAUUGGGGCCAUAGAAUGUUAACUAUCAGAAAGGGAAGAAAAACGAUUGUUUUGCAAAUGCACCUAGUCCAAUAUCAUAGGGAAUUACAAGUUCUAGACUCGGAAGUGACAUCUGAUGAGGAGGAUCAAUCUGAGGAUAACUAUGAUGAAAUUACUAACUUAAUGCAAGUCGACAAUGAUCCAAAUUGCAUAUGUAAGGAAGAAAUAUCCUACCAAUAUUGAGGACUUAAAGAAUAUUUUGUUCAUCAGGAGGAUGCAACUAACUCGGAUCAUACUAUUGCCCAAUGGAUGGACAAUCUUGCAAUCAAUAGAGUCAGCUGAUUGGAACAAGAAUGGGAUAGUUCUUAUAUGUCGGAUAAUAUAAGAUAUUUAGAUCAAGAGAAGAUAAUUAAAUCAGAGGUUGUAGAAGAUCCUGUGUGUCUAUCUAUUAACCUAGGCACCAACAAAAUGCCACAUCUAAUUAAAAUAUAUGCCAGUAUUAUAGUUACAGAAUUAGAUGCUUGAAAACAAUUUUUUGUCCAUCACAAAUUUGCCUUUGUGUGGUCGUAUGUGGAUUUGAAAGGGAUUCGAGUCGACGUGUGUGAGCACUAGAUUAUUUUGGAAGAGGGUGUUAUGCCAGUUUGUCAAAGACAACACCAACUUAACCCAAGAUAUUUUCUUUUAGUGAAAGAAGAAUUGGAUAAACUUCUCGACGUGGAUUUUAUUUAUCCUAUUCCGCAUAGUGCAUGGGUGUCACCAAUCGUGAUAGUACCAAAGAAAAAUGGGAAAAUCAAGAUGUGUCAAGAUUUUGGAAAGUUAAAUGCGGCUACUAAGAAGGAUUAUUUUUCGUUACCGUUUAUAGACAAUAUUUUAGACGCAAUGGCCAGAUAUGAAUGGUACUCAUUUUUGGACGGAUUUUUGGGAUAUAAUCAAAUUAAAAUUGCUUAAGAAGACCUGUUGAAGAUUACGUUUACCACAAAUUGGAGAACAUUUGCCUAUAAAGUAAUGCCAUUUGGAUUAUGUAAUGCCCUAGUUACUUUUCAACAAGUAAUGACACAAGCAUUUCAAGACUACCUAUGUUUAUCAAUGGAGAUAUUUCUAGACGAUUUUUGAUCCUUUAGCACAACGGCUAAACAACUAGCAUGUCUAGAUAACUGUUUGAAUCAAUGCGAUAAAUUUGGGAUAUCUCUAAAUUUGGAGAAGUGUCAAUUUGGCAUACCGUCCGGAAAGCUAUAGGGACACAUUGUCUCUAUUGAAGGUAUCGCUAUGGACCCCGAUAAAGUUAUUAGUAUAUUGGGUUAACCAAAGCCAGAUACGGUAUUAGGCAUACACAAUUUCAUCGGUCAUGUUAGCUACUAUCGGCAUUUUAUUGAAUCUUUUGCAAUUAUCUGUCAACCAUUAAUUAACUUGUUAAAGAAACCCCCACCAAACGGAUCUAGCUCAAUAUGGACUAAAGACUAUACUUUGCGGUACCAGGCUCAGUAUGCGCCGGUGUUUCGGGGGCUUUUUUUUUUUUUUUUUUUUUUUUUUUUUUUUUUUUUUUUUUUUUUUUCUUUUUNNNNNNNNNNNNNNNNNNNNNNNNNNNNNNNNNNNNNNNNNNNNNNNNNNNNNNNNNNNNNNNNNNNNNNNNNNNNNNNNNNNNNNNNNNNNNNNNNNNNNNNNNNNNNNNNNNNNNNNNNNNNNNNNNNNNNNNNNNNNNNNNNNNNNNNNNNNNNNNNNNNNNNNNNNNNNNNNNNNNNNNNNNNNNNNNNNNNNNNNNNNNNNNNNNNNNNNNNNNNNNNNNNNNNNNNNNNNNNNNNNNNNNNNNNNNNNNNNNNNNNNNNNNNNNNNNNNNNNNNNNNNNNNNNNNNNNNNNNNNNNNNNNNNNNNNNNNNNNNNNNNNNNNNNNNNNNNNNNNNNNNNNNNNNNNNNNNNNNNNNNNNNNNNNNNNNNNNNNNNNNNNNNNNNNNNNNNNNNNNNNNNNNNNNNNNNNNNNNNNNNNNNNNNNNNNNNNNNNNNNNNNNNNNNNNNNNNNNNNNNNNNNNNNNNNNNNNNNNNNNNNNNNNNNNNNNNNNNNNNNNNNNNNNNNNNNNNNNNNNNNNNNNNNNNNNNNNNNNNNNNNNNNNNNNNNNNNNNNNNNNNNNNNNNNNNNNNNNNNNNNNNNNNNNNNNNNNNNNNNNNNNNNNNNNNNNNNNNNNNNNNNNNNNNNNNNNNNNNNNNNNNNNNNNNNNNNNNNNNNNNNNNNNNNNNNNNNNNNNNNNNNNNNNNNNNNNNNNNNNNNNNNNNNNNNNNNNNNNNNNNNNNNNNNNNNNNNNNNNNNNNNNNNNNNNNNNNNNNNNNNNNNNNNNNNNNNNNNNNNNNNNNNNNNNNNNNNNNNNNNNNNNNNNNNNNNNNNNNNNNNNNNNNNNNNNNNNNNNNNNNNNNNNNNNNNNNNNNNNNNNNNNNNNNNNNNNNNNNNNNNNNNNNNNNNNNNNNNNNNNNNNNNNNNNNNNNNNNNNNNNNNNNNNNNNNNNNNNNNNNNNNNNNNNNNNNNNNNNNNNNNNNNNNNNNNNNNNNNNNNNNNNNNNNNNNNNNNNNNNNNNNNNNNNNNNNNNNNNNNNNNNNNNNNNNNNNNNNNNNNNNNNNNNNNNNNNNNNNNNNNNNNNNNNNNNNNNNNNNNNNNNNNNNNNNNNNNNNNNNNNNNNNNNNNNNNNNNNNNNNNNNNNNNNNNNNNNNNNNNNNNNNNNNNNNNNNNNNNNNNNNNNNNNNNNNNNNNNNNNNNNNNNNNNNNNNNNNNNNNNNNNNNNNNNNNNNNNNNNNNNNNNNNNNNNNNNNNNNNNNNNNNNNNNNNNNNNNNNNNNNNNNNNNNNNNNNNNNNNNNNNNNNNNNNNNNNNNNNNNNNNNNNNNNNNNNNNNNNNNNNNNNNNNNNNNNNNNUGAUCAAAAAGUCACUGCAAUGUGAGGUCUAAGUGCGAUUUGGGAUCACGGUCUCUUGUAGUUAUCACCAACAUGUAACCGAUGAAGUUAGAUAUCUGUUGGUCAUUGAAAAGGCAAAAAGAUUUUAGAAAUACAUAGUUAUUUACGUUUUUACAAAGAUCGAAUAAACUACCACCAAUUAAUGUAAAACGAGUGGCGAAAUAUAUAGAGAAUUAUGAUCUAGAGGAUGGUUUGAGUGUGGUAAGAGGAGUCUUGAUUGGAAUAGAUGAGAAUAUCUUACACAAGGUCUUACAUUUACCAACCGGAGAGCUUGAUGUAGGAGGAGAUGCAUCAAAUGACUUCAGGCGAGGAAGCUACUUCAAAGGAGGAAUGUCGUCUCUCGAGUGAAAUCAAGGAUGGAAGGUACAGGAGGCACUUCUGUCCAAACUUAUGGAAUGGAUGCGGUUUGUUCAGAAGCAGUUAGCAUUGAAUUAGCAUACCACCUACAUGGUGAAGCGAUUAUUAUUUUUCAUGAUAGGAACACUGAAAGGCAUGGUAUUCAAUUGGGCAGCUUCUGUGGCCACAACGAUACAUGCAAAAAUGAGAGGUAAUGGGAAGACGGAGAAUUUUGCUUCACUAUUACGUUCAAAUUAUGUAAACUCAGUACUUGAGUAUACAUUGAAAUAAGAAUCUCAACCAAUAGUUCCAAGUUUACAAAUGGGAACAGUUAGUCUAGGGGUAAUAGUGUAUGAAGUGGGAGAAUCCAGCAGAGUGGCAAAACAGUAAGCAAGACCAAUAUCUACACUAGAGCGAGUUUCAAUUUGGCUGACAAUAGAGAUGACGACACCAAUACCAAUUCCAAGGGAAAGCAACCAAUUAGGGUUUCAACAGGGUAUAACGGAAAGAUGAAAUCUUAAAAAAGUUAUAUUGAAUCAAAUUUCCUAGCUGCAACUUACGGUGAAUAAGCUCAAAGAUGAGGAUAGCUUAAAAAGGCAAGUAGAAGCGAGCAAGAAAAUAAUAUUGGAGCAAAAUUAUAAAAUCAAGGAACAAGAACAAGUCAUCAAGGUAGAAUCAGAAUCCAAGAUGCGAGUGAAGCGUGAAUUGGAUAAGAGAGUGGAAAACUAGUCAAAGGAGAAACAAAGGAUUCAACAUAUCCUAAAAAAUCAAAGGCAAGAAUUACUACAAACUCGCAAAUCAUAUAAAUUGGAACAAGACAAGAUGAACGCUCAGUUGAAGAUGGAAUGAGAGAAGAAGGAGGCAUUGGAGCUUAAAAAGAAACAAUUGGGUGUCGAAUAUCGAAACAAAAUAGAUGAGCUACAGGCAAAAAUUAUUGUUUUGAAGGAAAUAGUAACGAAAUUGGACAAUGAUUUGGUCAAAAUUGGUCAGCCACAGAUAUUUGCCUCAACGAGAAUAAAAAUUGAAAAAUUGGAGGAGAAAUUGCAAAAGCAGCAAGAAUAAUUGGAAGUUCAUGUUAGAGAAUUGGGAGCGUAUAAUGAAGAUUUAACAGCUCAAUUAAAGGUAGAGAUUUAGGAUGAGUCGUCGAAAGAAGAUAUAGUGUUGAAACAAGACCAAAUGGAGCCAACGCCAGGAAUUGAAAAGAUUAAACAAUCCACUUCCAAAAAAAAAAAAAAAAAAAAAAAAAAAAUGUUUAUCAAUAUUGUAUUUGCAUGGACCCUAUACAAUUAGAAGUCAGGCUAUAUAGAAUAAGUAGUUAUUUUUAGGAUGUAGAUACAUAAUGUAUAGUGUAAACAGGGUUAGAUAACUACUGAAAAGGUGGUUCAAUAGGUAGAAUGGAUGAAUAGUCAGGAAAAAUAGUUAUCAUCGGUAGUAUAGGAGUUGAUAUCUUGGGGUAGUAUAAGGAGGAUGGGAGAGAAGAUGAAAAUUCCAGAUUGUGAUAGUUAUUAGCCAAGAAUAAGCUUGGUGCUAUCUCUUCUUCUUAGUUUUCUUGUUUCUUUGGUGUUAGUGUUGAUUCUUGUGAAGAUAAUCGAUUUAAUGAAUCAAUGUUUGAUUUAGGAAGUUUUUUAUAGAAGUUUCCAGUCACUGUUUAUCGCAAGGUUGUAAGUUCAGUGGAGAGGAAUUAUAAUUGAAGGAAUUGUCUUCAUCAAAUUCAGUGGAUUAGAAGUUGUUCGUUCCAAGAUUUGGGUUAUGCUUGUGUGUUUGUAAAUUACACAGGGUAUUGAAAUUGAUGUCGAGGUUGUUAUCAUAUUAAUAUGAGAGAGUAAACAAUAGGAGGAAAAGUUAAGUGUUCUUCAACAUUGUAAGCAUUCAGUUGUAGCGGUUAAUUGUGUGACCCUAACAAUUGGAACUCAUAUACAUGGUCUUUUCCUGUGUUCAAAUUCCCCUAUAUGAAUUUAUUCUGGUAGGUUUCUUUCAAAAUAAGUAAAACGAUAAUCACAAAAACUCAUGCAUUUUAACAUAGAAGAGAGCAAAUCCAUUGAAACUCCAUUUGAUGUGAAUUCCAAGUUGUUGAAGCUUUUUGAGAAAAAGUAUGAAGAGAUUCAAGAAGAAAUGGAAGGCAUUCCAUACAAGACAACAAUAGAAUCAUUCAUAUAUGCAAUGGUGGAUAUAAGGGCAAAUCUUGCAUUUUUGAUGGAUGUGCUAAGCCAAUUCAUAUCUAGAGCAAGUCCCUUUCAUUGGAUGGUUGAAAUGCAUCAUGAAAUAUUUGAAGGAUACUUUAGACUUCAAUUUGUAUUUAGAGGCAAAGACAUCAUAUUGAAGGGUUUUAGUCAUGUGGAUAAAGUGGGGAGUAGAAUGAUCUCUCUCACUCCGAGCAUUGUAUGCAUACUCUAUCUAUUGCAUGUACUUAUGCAUCUUGUUUGUACUCCUAUUGUACUUCAACAACUUUUGCACCAAGAGGUAGGCUGCAACGCACUAACUACCAUGCAGUCAAAAAAUCUUCUUAGAUUUCACACGGAUAUGUCACAAAUCAAGCUAUUUCAAACAAUGAAGGCAAAUAUCUACAGUAUUAUGGAUGAAAACAUUUACAUCAACUGUAGAAGCACAAUAAUCACUUAUUAGUAGAUUAGUUUAGUAUGUCCAUACUUCAGCUACUAGAUACAUUUUUCUAAUACCCAUGGCAUGCAACGAAGUUAUGGAGUGUACCUUUACACCACUACACCACCUCUACACCACUAUAAAUAACUCACUUGGCAAGUGGGAUGCCAUGUAGGUUCGGUGGUUACCACCUUUCUGUGGUUGAAACCCUCGUUUACAAGCCACCACGAGCUCCUGUCUACCUCCUGGUAGGAAGGGGGCGUAUGCUUCGGAGGACUCUUACGUCCAAUGCGUUAUUGGACCAGUGAACUGUUAGUAGCUGCAGUGACAUAAACAUAUUGACGCACGUAUCGACGUCAUAUUCAGCAUAGUUUACAACAAGAAGUUCAUUACUGCGUUGGGUUUAUUACUUGCCAGAAUUUCAGAUUCGUUUUUCAACUUGCUUUGCAGUACGAGGUUCUGGACCCUUGUUUUCACAGAAUUAAGUCGACACCUUCUGGAACAUCCACUUUGUUUACUUCGUUUUGACAGACUUCCCAACAUUGACAAAUUGUAGAUGAAGUUAUCGACAUUAAAGUGUCGAAAAAUUAGUUCGACAUUGAUUUAGUCACUUGUGUGUCUAAACAAUUGUCGAAACCGAAGCAAGCGAAAUCCUUCCAAAUUUCUACAGUCAUAUGUCAGAGAAUUUCCCAAAAAAUAUAAUAAAAUGUCGGAAACCUGCCAAAAAAGGUGUCAAAAACAAACCCUCUUCGGUUGUUCUUCGGUUCUGCGUGGGCACAUCCCACUUUUCCAAUCUGAAGCACAAGCACGAGAGGUUUGUUUUAACGAAGCAAUUCCCUUGGUAAUGAUCAGAAUUGCGGAGUUUUCAGACUUCAUCCCCCCUGGAGCUAUUUUCUCAAAAGUUGCAUGAAACUUGAGAAGAUGGAGCACUAUAGGCGCCUUCAGCCAACAAUGCCGAAUGCGGCUCUACGUAGGAUUCUUGCAAAUAAGAUCUCAUUCCCACAUGAUAGGUCAUCCUUAUCUGCUUCAACAACAUAAUGCCAGAAUCACAGUAUCCCUCACAUCAGGUUCAACAGCUUUCGAAGUCCAUGUGUAAGUUCAUGUUAGUCAUUCUACGGAGACAUUUUAAUCUCUCCAAGCAAGUUUCUGCAUUUGGUCUUCUGGAAGCGUCAGUCUGCAAGCAAUCCCUUUGCAACUCUCGAACACCCGCUGACAAACCAUUUAUCCCGCUACUCCUGAUCAAAUGCCCAAUGCCCCAUAUGUCUACACUCGAGUCAUGACGACCUCUGCUCAUCUCAGGGGCGUGAGCUUCAACACACAGUCCGUGAGCGUGACCACAGGGAGUAGCAGCAGUCUCAUCAAAAUCAAUUAAAACCCAGUUGGUACCUGAAGUGUUUCUGAGAACAUUCCGCCAAGUUAUAUCUCGAUGCAUUAGAUUUUUUCCAUGCAACCAGACCAGUGCUUCUGCAACAUUGAUCAAUGCUUUCAAAAGUUCAUCUUCAGGUCUCGCCCGGCUUUUCACAAGACACCGGGGUAUCAUUCGGAAUCUACGAUCGGCUGCAUUAAUUUUCAGCACCUGCUCUGCAUUGGGGCAAUCCUUGAUGCUCUUAUAUAUUUGGUACACCUUCUCAAAGGUACGCUUAUCUCUGUAGAUCUUGUCAACACCAGUCCCCACGAAAACAGUUUUUCCGUCAGUGCGAUAAUCGUAAAAGUCAGACUCAACUCCCAGCACGAUUCCAGCUUCAGACAGGCGCAUUAGCAGCUUGCUGAUGUUGAAGCCUAUCAACGAUGCCAGCAACCUGUCCUCUACAACAGAUAGAUUGACAGUGAUCAAAUCCACCACCUCAGUCUUACAUCGCUUAGCAUCAUGCACUAGUGCACAGUAAGUAACGAUCGCUGCGUUGGCAUAAUAACACAGGAGAUAGGGCAGGUUUCCAUACGUCCAGAUCAGCUUCCUGACCAAUUCUUGUUUGGGAUCAUCUUCAGUAUCUGGCCCCUUCUCCUCGCCACGCCAAAGUGCGAGUCUGGAAACCAUCCCAAGUUUGUCUGGGCGCUUGUUCUCGGAUGAACUAAACCUUGAGGUGUCUCUAUCAAAGACAAGUGUUUCCAAAGAGAACAGGGAUAUUGGCUCAGUAACAAGACAAUCCCAAUAAGCAUGAUAAGAACUUUCUGUAGAGCCUGUAGCUGGAGGCCUUAACACAAUCCCAAGGUGGUCAUCCAAAUUCCAGCAAACGCCUCGUGCAGGGUCAUGACAAAUAAAGUUGUCUGCUUUACUCAGAUAGCUCUUCCACUGAAAGUAGCGUCGGUGAGAAACCGGAAAUGCCAUACGUGGCGGAUGCAGCAAGUAACCUUUCAGUUCAGUGACCUCCGGAAUCCUGACGUCCACUCUUGCUUCUACUAAUAACCUCCGGAAAGGGUCCAGUGCAUCCUGUUGAGCAGCUGCUUAAACCACAAAAUAAGUAAACAUACAUAGAGAUGCGAGCCUAAAUAAGCACAUAAAUUAGCAGGCCAGACUACCUAUGGUUUCGGAAACCUAUGUAGCCAUUGUGAAAGAGUAGUGUCCCCUCCAGAAACGAAAACCCCCAAGGUAUAGAGUUCCACACCGACCACCUCAACGCGUCCAGUAACCACAGGGAAGAAGAAAGGGUGGUGGCUUGGUAUAUAUAGCUGGAACAGCAUUAAGGCACAGCUACCGAGACGUAACGUGGCAGCAAGAGAAAGGCCGAAGUCAGGUGAGUUGGGGGAGUGUGUUAAAUACCAGCCAUCAGUAACCCUUUAUUGGUUAAUAAUCGGCUGAGGUUAAGUACCAUGAGUUCAAUCAGAGGGAGGGAGGGAGCGUGGCUGCAUAAAGAAAACCUUCACCAGUUACCCAUAAGUUCGAGAACUAAUUAAUAGGUGCCAUGCAGACACGUCUACAACCCUUAAUAGGUUAACCUGGAGGAAAAAAUUGGAACGUACUUGUUUACAAAAAGCAUAAAUCAACGGCUUUCUCACCUACGAAAAAACAAUCAGACCUUCAGGCGCAAAGUAUGAACAGUGCAACGAAGCCAAUUCAACAAUGGUGCGAGACCAUGAACUAAACCCUUGCCCAAAAAUAUGAACUGGACGAGAUACUAAUAGGAACCCUAGCCAAAGGGAAGAAGUGGAUAAUCAAGUGGAUAAUGCAAUAUGUGUCAGGCCAAGUGAUUUCACCUGAAGUAUCAGCGUUGAGCAGCAGCAGUUCCUUUUCCCGCAGUUGCUCCUUCUCUUUCCGCAGUUGCUCCUCCUUUUUCCUCAGUUGCUCCUCCUUUUUCCGCCAGUAAGCGACAUCGGCCUCUGUGACAGCCUUCGUCAGUUGUUCUUCCACAGCAUCGAUCUGUUGCUCUACUUUCCUGAUCUCUUGCUUCACCUCUUCAAAUUCGGCAUCCAUUGUCUUGAAAAGCGCAUGACCCUUUCAGCACGCCUAUGCUGCCUACGUGACCACCUCCUGUAACGUGCAACCUCAGCAGCAAUUCAUUAGAACGCUGUCACACGCAAACGCGAGCAGUGCUCGAAAUGCAUACAAAACUCCGCUCAGCCGAAACAAACCCCGAUAGAGACAACAAACAGAAAGAGUAAAAUCAGCUGCCAAACCACAAUCAAAGCUCAUGGCGCGCACGACAGCCACUUCUAAACUCUCCCGAAUCAUGCCUCACAACUAAUAAUCCAACAACAUAAGUAAUCACCCUGUCAUUCACCAUAAAGACUCGAAAUUUACCGCAGAAACACGAAACACGGAGGGGCGGCUGACCCCGGCCAAGAAAUCAACGACACCCGGAAAAGCAAACCGGCGCUGGAAUUACAAGUGGAAAAGAAACUGGACAACAAUACGAUACCUGUGGAUGACUGAAGAGCUCAACGGAGACAGAAUAACUUACCGGUAGGCGCAAGGCAAGGGUGGUAAGAGAACAGAAGAGAGCGCUCAAGCUGAGGUCAAGCGAUGGAACUGCCCGUCGUGAGAAAGGUUCCCUACCUCUGCCAGGGUCAUUCUUGUCAAUCACGCCCAUCAACGAAGCGACCUAACGAAACGAAACAGCAGACUUGGAAGGAGCAAAAUAAACACUAAACACUAGCGCAUGGAAAAACGGAAACCCUAGCACAAGCAAGAAGAGAAAACCCUAGCCAUCCGAGAGCACGUAAAAGGAGCUGUCGAAAGAAACAGCUCGAUACUUACGAAUCCAGUUAUUCACUCACAGUCACGGAUUCAUAAUAUCUGGCAAAAUUCAGGUGCUGAAGACCAGGACAUAGUAAGUAGUAAAACGCUCUUUUCAUUCUAAUUCUUGUCGAAAUUCACAAUUCUAACGAAUGCUCCUCUCGGGCCAAGCUGAAUACGUACAUGAUGUUCUAGGAACUCAAAUAGCUCACGCAAUACUUGGAAAAGAAACACUGCUACAACGAAUUGAUAUUUGUUACUAGCGUUGCAGAAGCUCAAUUCCAACUGCAUCAGACUCAUAUAAUUCUUACUAAUGGUUACAUGCUCGUGCAAACAAGGGUCGCGAAGCAAAUCGCUGAAAAAACUUCAUGGAAACUCUGCAGAAUCGGCAACACGAAUUACUACCAGCACCUAGCGAGUUCAAACAAUUUCACACUCUCUUUCAGUCCUGAUUCAUCGCAGUACAACCUCACCGUAAUCAAAUGACAAAAAAAUCACAAAUCAAGACACACAUAACGAACGGUCUUCAAUCAACGAUUACAAAAUCUCACAACCUCUCUACAACAGCGUCAUCUCUGGUAGAGCAAACUUGUGCAAGCUCUCUUCCACAACACUGCUUCCCUUCCACUUAAUAUUAACGCAAAAUCCUAAGCAUGAAAAGACUUCUCCUCAGCAUAGCCGCACACAUAUUACCUCUCUAUAAUCCAAUUCAAAGCAGCAAGUCACCUCAUAAACGAACUAGAACUUCACUUACCACAUCGUACGUUGGAUUCAAGAAACACACUCAAAGAGGGGACCAAGAGACUCCGAAGUGCUAAAAAGCCCCAAAAAAGAGCAUUCAGGAGAGAUCCUUGAGCUUCGAUUUUAAUGGCUUCAAGGCAGAGAAAAUUCCAGUCAACAUUCCCUCAAUCCUACGAGCAUGCUCGUAUGAUGCAAUGCAUCAUACGCGCAGUGAGCACAAAACGCAAUGCUAUCUCUCUCACUCAACAGGAACACGAGUGGAAUAGUUUAAUAUCUAGGUGAUACUCCUUUGAUAUUGAUGUGUUAUUGUGCCGAUACUCGGGCUAAUAGAGUGGACAGGGGUAUAUACGACGACAGGCUUCCUGGAGGUUUUGAUGGUUGGAAGAAGGCGCAUGGCGAUCGGAGCAGAGAUCAGAGGGGUGAUAGCAGCCGUGGAUGAUGAGUAGGGGCGUUGGUAGCCGUUCUAUAGCGCGCUGGAGUGUAUGGGGUCCGCGGAGGCGAUGGAAUUCUCUUGCAGCCACUGUCAUUCAUCAUGAUGAAUCGCACAAAUCUCGUUCACACAGCAUCAUUGUUUGAAUGGAUGAUGCUGUGUAAACAUUGUGGUCUACCACGACCCUCAUUUCCAUCUUCCAUAUCACAAGUGGUUUCUAAUUUUAUGUGUUGCUGGAUGUCAUAUGACAAGUACAAAGGAGGUAGGAGAGUGCUAAGAUGUGAAUGAUGAGCGAUGAGCAUUGAGCAAUAAGUAGUAACAUGUGACUAGUGAGCAGUUGUUUGUUGUUGUUGUAGCUUUGGAUGUUUGGAGGCCAAUGGCCAUCAAUUUCUACAAGAAUUUUUAUUUUUUGGAUGAAUUUCGGAAGCAAAUUCUAUUUCAAUAGAAAAUGGUUUAGAAUACCAUAGAAAAGUUUAUACAAGAAUAUGUUAGUGUUAAGGAUAUAUAGUAAUAGAAAAAAAAAAUUCAUAUGGCAAAUCCACAUGUAAAAUCAAAAAGUAUGUAAUGGCUCUAGAAGUCUUACAUCUAUACUCAAGCGAUUGUUCUUUGCGACACAAUAGAUAGGAAUGUUAUUUUCAACAUCAAUGACAACAUUCUCCAAUGAAGGAGCAACCACCAUAGGUGUUGUAUAUUGAAGAGGUAUAAACACAACUUCAAAGAUGAGAUGGUCCUUCUCAAAGGCAACUAGGCGGCAACCAAAACAACAGCAAGAAUAAAUAGAUAUCUUUAGGAUUUAGUAAAAAAAAUUUAGAAUAAAUUUAAAAUAAAAAAUUAAAAGAAAAAAAAAUACAAAAAAGUGAAGAUUUAGAAGUAUAUGUAGAGAUAAUGGUUCCAACAAUAAUAGCACACGACUUGAUAAUGGCCUCUAGAGGAAUUUACAUAAAAAUAAGGUCCUUCUCCUGACUUCUUUUCUAUGGCACAACUUUGUUCAUAACUUGUGUCUCCUUCGCUAUGAAGUUGAAUCAGAUAUCAUCACCCUCAAUAUGAUAUAUAUAUCAUUGGAUAAUUCAUGGUCUUCUUUGAAAGUAAACUAUAGAGAUGGUUCCAUCUUAUGAAGAAGCAAAAAGAUGUGGAAGUGGUAUGUUUGAAGGAGAUAGUAAUGUUAGAAGUAAAAACAACAAAAAGAGUUUAAAUCCAUGGCUAAUUUCAAAAAACAUAAUGAGACAAUAACAUUCAUCAAUGAAGCCAACUAAUCUUUGAAAAUCCAAAACUCGUAUGUUAAAGCAUACAUUUGCACAUCUAUCCAAAUGGCUUGUGAUUCAAGCAUGAAAAAGAAUAUAGGUGCAUUAUAGAAGAAUGCAUAAGCAACUUCAAAAAAGGCCUCCAUGUAAGCCUUAACAUAUCGAUUCUACUUUGAAAUGGUAUAGGAUUAAGAGGAGAUGUUCAGGACUCGCAUUUUUUUUUGGUAGGUCUACAACAAGGAGGUGAAUCCACUAUAGAGGCAUAAUGCAAAAUACAUUUCUAUUCGUUUAUUUGUUCUAACUUGUCAAUACAAAAAAAAAUAAUAAAUAAUAAAAAUAUUAUAAUAUAAUAUAUAUUAUGUAGAAAAUUGCUAAAAAAGAGAAAUAUGUCUUGUUCAUAAAAUUAUACAUUUCAACCAUAAGGGAGUAUAUAAGCCCAACUUCCAUGAACUUGAAUAUAAAAAUGUUCUUAAUCAAAACACUUAUUAGAGUAGCUAUAGAGAAGGAGCUCACACCAACUUGCAAGGUUUAUUUUUUUGCCUAAAUUUGGACUUGAGAAGCUUGCAUAAUUGAGGUACACUGAGUAGAAAAAAUUUCCAUUGCCAUCUUUAUGAUUUAUACUACUAUAAAUGCUAUGUUAGUACUAAUAUGGGUGAUUGCCACUGAAGCACUUUUUUGAGUCUUCGAGGCUUUUGAAGCCUUCAAGGCCUUUAGAAUCUUUAGAGCCUUUAGAGCCUUCAGAUCAAAUAACAAUGCAUUCUACUUUCCAAUUUGAAUGGCUUCUUUUUCAAUAGUAAUCUCAAGAGCCUCCAAAAUAUCAUUAAUACCAUCUUCUAAGAUAAUCGCAGCUCCCUUGCCACUUAGCUAUAGCUUUUUUUUUUCCUCCUCUAUAAUGAAAUCUUUGAAAGGCAUUUCAAAUACCACAGUCCACUCUACAAAUGAGAAAGCAAUGACUUCAUCACUUUUACUAGGAUGUAGAUACAAAGUAGAGACCUUUGUUUAUUAAUGUAGAUAGAUACAUCAAUAAUACUUACAAAAACACAACAUUCUUAGAUACCAACUUUUUACACAAGUAUUUAUACAAGAAAAUGAAUGAAAAUUUGCUAAAAAAUACAUGAAGAAGAUGAAAAAAAAUAAAAAGUCAGAUAUUAACUUGAUGACCACCGUUUGAUGGUCAGACCACCAGUUGGUAUGUCCUCAAGAACGGGAGCUUUGAUAAAAGCACUAUUACUUUAGAAAAAUGAGAUGAAUGCAUAUUUUCAAAGUAUGAUCCUCCACUACUCAAUAUAAUCUCCAAUCUUAAAAUUUUAGAAUAUAAAAUUCUAAUGGAUGUAAUUGAAGUUGAAAAGCAUCUCUUCAAACUCUUGAACUAAUACAUGUUCCAACUACAAGGAUUGUAAAAUAAGUGCAUCAUUAAUCAAAUAGAAAAUAAGAAAAAUAAAAAUAAAAAGAAAGUGAGAAGACUAAUCUAGGCCCAAAAGUUAGUUUGAAUGAGCUAUUAGUCCAAAACUAUUUUUUUCAUAGGUCUAAUAAAGAAACACAAUGAUGAAGGGGCAAAGGUAGAAGAAUUCUACCACUAGAGUCACCUCACUUUGAAAUUAGAAUUCAUGAUAGUAAUUACAAUCUUGUGGAUUUCUUUGAGUCAUAUCAGUCUUUGUCACAAUAUUCCAAUAUUUUGAAAUUUGUACCAAUUUUUUUUUAAUAUUAUAAAGAAGAUAAUAAAGAAUAUUGACAUGAUGGCAUUGCAAAAAAAAUAAUUAAUGUGAGUUAUCAAAUUUACUCAUUAAUUAUUUUAGGAUAAAAAGAUGUAUUUAGAGUACUUUAAACCACAAUAUAUAGUGAGUAGUAUAGAAAUCUUUAGUCAAAUAGAAAAUUAGAAUGUUAGUUGUAAAAAUGGAGUCCUAGUAAGUCUUGGAGAUAAAUAUCUUAGUUGAUUUAAUAUUUUUACUUAUUAUUGAAUAUCAAGGAUUAUUUAUUAAGAUUAAUAUUUAUAUUGGCCUUAUAUCUAUAUGUAGUACUUAUAAAUAAAAUUAUAAAUAUCAGUUAAUAAUUAAAAAAUAACAUGAAAAAAAAAGCUCAUAUCUUUUUAGUUAGUUAUAUAAGAAAUAGGAUUUAUAGUUGAUUUAAAUUGAUUUUAAUAUUAUAAAAAAUAAUAAAGCUAGAAAAAUAUAGCUUUAAAUUUAUAUUUAUAUUAUAGAAAAUUUAUAGGAAUUUUUUUAAUUUAUUUAGAAUUUAUUUUUAAAAUUUAGACUUUGAUAAAAAUAAAUUUUACUACCAUGGGAUCCAUUAUGAAGAAAUGGAAUAAGUUUUGAAGGCCACACAAGGUUUCUAUGCUAAUUGGGUGUUUUUAAACACCAUGGUGGAGUCAAAAAUGCAAAAAUAUUGAUUUUAUUAGUAGAAAAUAGGAGGGCCAGCAGCUAGUAUAGUUCUUGUGAGAAGGUAGGUGCACAAGUUCCAUAUGGAUUGUAGCACCUUGAAGGUAGUUAGGAGGAUAAGACUAUGGCCUUACGGCUUCUCUUAGACACCCAUAUAUACUACUUAUGAGUCUUGGUGAAGUUCAAACUCUUGAUCUCUUAAUCAAGUUAUCCUUGAGGUAAAAAUUAUUUAUUUAAUUUUUUUUUGUUUAUCUUUUAUCUUUAACCUCUUAUAACUUAUUCAUAAUAAUUUGGAUUUACAUGUUUCUUAUACUAUUGAAAAGAUAAUAUAAUUAAAUUUCUAAAAAUAUAUAUAUAUAUUUUUUAUUUUUUUAUUUUUUAUCAAGUAAAAACUUAGUGAAUAGACUUUACUAUUGUUCUAGUAUACAAUUGCUUAAUUGCACUCGUUUCACUUGUUUUUGUGUUAUACUUCUUUUGUUCUUGCUACUUCCACUUUACACCACUAAUUACAAGCAACUCUUAAUUGAGGCCAUCUUAUAAUUUGGAUUGAGGGAUAGAAUUUAUCUUCACAUUUUGGUGCAUUUGCUAGGAGGUGGUGCUUCUAAUUGUGUGUGUAAAUGUGAAGUGAGUUGAUUUUAAUUGACCUUUUGUAUAGAUUAUUUGAGUGAGUAUUUCAAAUCUAUUUUCUAUCAUUGGUAAGUCUUUUAUCUUUCUUCAUUUUUUUUAUAAAAAUAUCUCUUUUAAUUAUAUAAUCAAAAGAUAUUUAAAAGAAAAAAAAAAAAGAAAAAAAAAAAAACCAUGGAUAGGUAGAGAGUGAUUUUCUCUCGGAUUUUCAUCAAUCAGUUUUUAUGUAAUUGUUAUUUCACUUUGGAACUUUGUAAAGUUGUGUAUCUUGGUGUUAUCUUUUUAAAAAGCUACUGCAUGUUUGAAUUGGACUAAAAUUGAAUUUUAAGUGAAUUUUUGAUUAAAAAAGGAUUCACUGCCUUGGCAAUUUUAUAUACUCCAUGUUUGAAAAGGCAUUUCUUAGUGCUUGUUGAAUAUUUUAAAUUGAAUUACUUUGGAGUAAAAAAAUCUGAAGGAUAAACUUGGAAUGGUGCAAUUUUUAUUGAAAUUACGUCAAUAUUCAAUUUUUGGUGAUUUUUGAAGUGAAGAGUAAGCUUGAAAGUUUUAAGGGUUCAUCAUCAAGGGUGGAGCUCAUCUUCAAGGAUCUUCACUAUCUUUCCUUGUAAUUUUUCUAAUUGAGGGUCUUUUUUAGUAAUAGGGAGAUUUAAUCACUCCAUCUAUUCUUGGUAUCAUUUCUUUUCAUCUUUGUAAAUUUUUAAUUGAAGGCUUUUCUCUAGUAAUAGGGAGAUUUAAUCACUCUCUCCACCCUUCAUAUCUCUUCUAUUCACAAGAAGUAGUAUAGUAGGAGCUUAACAAGAAAUUCAAGAAAAUUCUUCAUCAACAAGGAAAGAAAAGAUCAACAAGUUUAAGUCAUAAAUCUAAGGUGAAUAUACUUUUUAACAACUUUUAUUGAGUUUUAAUUUAUUUUGCUAAUAUAGAUUGUGGUUUAAGGAGAAAGAGCUCAAAAAGAAAGAAGAAUGACAUUAAUAGUUUGCAAGCAAGUAAGUCUUUGAAUCCUUGUCAAUUAUUUCUUUUUUUGAAAUUUUAGCAAAUUACUUGAGUAUAAGAAGCUGGAAUUAGAAUUUGGAGGGUAGAAUCUAAGAAAAAGAGGCAAGAAGAGGUUCCCUUUUAAACUUUUUUAUAGAUUUUUUCAAAUGGGAUCAAUAGAGCCUUAGGACCGUUUACUAUUCCAUUCUAAAAAUAGAUUUUCAAACCAUUUAGUUAGAAUCGAAUAGGAAAAAAAUCACAUUAGAAAUUCUUUAAAUUGUGUCAAGUUGGCUACAGAUAUGACGAGCUAAGUCCUUCUUCAAAGUGAUAUAAUUAUUUUACAAAGAACAAUUUUUAUCUAAUAAACAACUGUUGUUAAUUGUUGUAGUGGAUAAUUCUUUAAUAGACUUGUUGUAAAAAAGUAGAAAGAAAAAAGAAGAGUUUGAACUUUCUGCCAUCUUGAUAUGGAAUUCCUUUUGAUAAUUAAGAUUGCUUAGAAUUUUUCAAAAAAUAUGAUAUAAUGUCGGAAACCUGUCAAAAAAAGUAUCAAAAAUAAAUCUUCUUUGGUUGUUCUUCGGUUGUGCAUAAGUACAUUCCACUUUUUCAAUCUUAAGCAUGAGAGGUUUGUUUUAACGAAGCAAAUUCCUUGGUAAUGAUCUGAAUUGUGGAGUUUUGAGACUUCAUCUCCUUGGAGCUAUUUUCUCAAAAAUUACAUGAAACUUGAGAAGAUGGAGCACUAUAGGUGCCUUCAGCCAACAAUGUCGCAUGUAGCCCUACAUAAGAUUCUUGCAAAUAAGAUCUCAUACCCAUAUGAUAGGUCAUCCUUAUUUGCUUCAACAACAUAAUGCCUGAAUCACAAUAUUUCUCACAUCAGUAGCUUUCGAAGUCCAUGUGUAAAUUCAUGUUAGUCAUUCCAUGGAGACAUUUUAAUUUCUUCAAGCAAGUUUUUGCAUUUGGUCUUCUGGAAGUGUCAAUCUACAAGCAAUCCCUUUGCAACUCUCUAACACUAGUUCACAAAUCUUUUAUCCCGCUACUCCUAAUUGUACCAUUAUCAUAAGUUAAAAGAAAAUAACUUGAAGAGGAAUUGUAGAAUAAGUAGUUAUUUUUAGAAUAUAGAUACCUAGUAUAUAGUGUAAACAUGGAUAGAUAACUGUUGAAAGGGUGGUUCAGUAGAUAGAAUAGAUGAAUAGAUAGAAAAAGUAGUUAUCAUCGUAAUAUAGGAGUUGGUAUCUCGGGGUUGUAUGAGGAGGAUGGGAGAGAAGAUGAAAAUACCAGACUGUGAUAGUCAUGAGCCGGGGAUAAGCUUGGUGCUAUCUCUUCCUCUUAGUUUUCUUCUUUCUUUUGUAUUAGUGUUGAUUCUAGUGAAGAGAAUCAAUUUUAUGAAUCAAUGUUUGAUUUAGGAAGUUGUUUAUGGAAGUUUCUAGUCACUAUUUAUUGCAAGGUUGUAAGUUUAGUAGAGAGGAAUUAUAAUUGAAUGAAUUGUCUUUAUCAAAUUCAAUGGAUUGGAAGUUAUUCAUUCUAGGAUUUGGAUUAGGCUUGUAUGUUUGUGAAUUACAUAGGGUACUGAAAUUGAUGUCAUGGUUGUUAUCAUAUUGAUAUGAAAGAGUGGACAGUAGGAAGAAAAUGUAAGUAUUCUUCGGUAUUGUAAGCAUUCAGCAGUAGCGGUUAAUUGUGUGACCCUAACAAUUGGAGCUCAUAUACAUGGUCUUUUCCUGUGUUCGAAUUCCCCUAUAUGGAUUUAUUCUGGUAGCAUCCUUUCAGAAUAAGUAAAAUGAUAAUCACAUUUUGGCGCCGCUGCCGAAGAUUGACAACAUUAUUGGGUGUUAAGAAUUAUUUGCCAAAGCAGUAAAGGAGAUUAGGAAGCAAACUGAAUUAAAAUAAUGAAAGAGUAUGGUUAUUAAGAAUGAGAAUUUAACAACAAAGAGAAUAAAGCAAUCAAAGAAAAGAACAAAGAGAUCACAAGCAAUAAAUUUGUUACAUAGUGAGCGAGAUCACAAGUUGAAAAAAAAGCAUUGAUAAAGUUGGAUUAAGUCGUGGUUGUAUGCCUAUUGGCAUAUUUGAUCAUAUCUAGAAGGCAAUCGACCUCUAAUAUUUCAAAAGUAUACACCAUUAAAGAAAUCACCAAGAGCACUUGUGGGAAGAUCUGCUAAUAGUCCAGCAUACCUCUCGAAGCCGUUAACGGAAAGCAAGGAAGGUACAAAGGAAUUAGGUACUCCAUUGGGUAUUUUUCCAAUUAGAGAUAUGUCCGAUUCUAACAAGAUUGGUUUUGAAGAUUGGCAUGAAUCACUUGUCAAUAGAGACCAAUUCAGAGUAUAUCAAAAUCCAUCGUUUUUACCUCAUAUUCAACCAGUAAAAUUAUUUGGAGAUAAUAAUAGUCAAUCGAGAAGGCUUGGAUGGCUGAAAAAUACUUUUGUGGGAGAAAAUUUUUAUUUUAAUAAGAAAUUGAGCGAAACACCAACAUCUUUAAUGGCAUUCGGAGGUUCAACGAUUCAAAUCGCAGUACAAAUGGGUGCGGCAAGAGAUCACACAACUAGCGUGGCUCUAUUACCUACCUUUAGAGGUUUACCAGGAGCCAAUCCAGAUCAACAUUUAUAACAAUUCUUGACUGCAUGUGUAGCCAAUAAUGGAAGAACUGAAGAUAUUUGGUUAAGAUGGUUGCCAGCAACAUUAAAAGACACACCAUUUGAGUGGUAUAACUGCCAACUUGUCGAAUCAUUUAUCAAUUGGAAGGCAUUGAAAAAUACAUUUUUAGUCCAUUUUCGACCAAUUGGUUUUGAAGAACAUCUUAGAGAAAAAUUAAUGAACAGCAAAAUGGUACCAGGGGAAGCGGUACAGUCAUAUUAUGAUUGUAUAGUAGAUAUACUUCAAAAAUGGCCAAAUAACCAAAUACCGAAAUUAUUUGUGUUGUCCAUAUUGGUUAAUGGACUACAUCCACCAGAAUUGAAGAUGUUUGUAAAAUGGGCCCAAUCAGCCACCAUUGCAUCAUUUCUUGAGCGAACAAAAGUAUGGGAAGAAUGUCACUAUGACCAAAAUUUAACAGUUGAAGCCAUGAUGAUUCCACCUCAAGGAGGUUAUCAAAUGACAAAUUGGAAUGACGCAUCGGAUAGUUAUCAAGGAAGGAAUGAUUAUGGUACAAUUCCAUAAGGAAUAGUGGAUGCCGUUCUAUUGCAGGCUGUACCACCAUCAUUAUCACAUCCGUAUGUGCCUUAUUUUGCAUAUCAAAAAUCAAUACCUACGAAGGAAUUUCCAAAUGCAUUGGUAUUAAGGGAUUCCAAUGAAUCAUUGUUGUUAACAUUGACGAAAAAAAUGGAUGAAUUGGCUAUGAAUCUUAUGAAGGACAAGGAAAAGAGAUAUAAACCAAGCAAUAUGCAUCCCAAUUUCUGGUGGAGUAAUUGUAAGGGGCAAGGUCAUUUAGUAACAGAAUAUCCUUCACCACCUUAAAUGAUUGUAUAUUAUACCUUUUCUGAGGGCAAGCAUAUUACCACCAACUGUUGGAAUUUAUGGAAGCAACAACAACUCAGUAACUAGAUAAUGAUCCAACCGUGGAACGAUAACCAAAUUCAUGGGACGUUAAGCAAAUUCAAAUAGAAAAUAGGUUUGGCUAGAAUGAGAAUCGUUUUAACAAGCCGAAUAGAAAAAAUUUUAAAUUUUAAAAUUUGGUAUACAAUCAAGAAUACGGAACCAAUGCUCAAAGAAUGGUACAAAAUCAAUAAGGAUAUUUCCAAUAUCAAUCCUUUCAGCAAUCAAAUUCGGAUUCCAAAGUACCAACUGGACAACCGGGAUCAUUUUUCCAUUCAACCUAGAACAUGCUGAGCUGGUAUAUCCUGAUAGAUACUCCCAAUAUUCCUGUCGGUGUUUAAAGGAAACCACUUUGAUGUUAAUGUUGAAGACAAAUUGGACAUUAUGCUAGUGAAUGUCCUAAUCUAAAAGCAAGCAAUGACUAUGCUCCCUCGUGUGGAAAUUAUAAGCAAUCAGGACAUACUUAUCAGCAGUGUAAUUCUCCAUUUAAUUUCAAUAAUUAAAACCAACAUAUUCAAUUGCAGAGUAAACUAGAGGAGAAUAAUCGAGAUUUAUUGGUAAACUGGGUGGAAUGCGUACAUACCAUGCUUACAAGGGUCCAAAAAAAAGAAAAAGAUCCAAUUCGACAAUUGGAGGAACCAAUUUCUAAGAGACAAUAAGACUCAAAUCUAAUAACCAUACUUAGAUCGUCAUCAACAUUGAGACCUGAAUAAUCAGAACAGCCCAAUGAUGGUUCUGACACGAGACUAUUGAUCCAACAUGAACCAAUUCUAUUACCCCCAAAAGACAAGGAGCAGCCUUACUCACUGAAAGACCCUCUCAGGGUGAAACAAUAUGAAAUAGCUUGUUCAACUAUUCCGAUGUGUGACUCUAUAAAGCAAGAUAAGCUAUUGACAAGAGUUAAAGUGAAGCCUAUGAAAAAGAAAAGGGCUUUGGGAAUUACUACAAAUAUGGAACUGUAUGAUAUAUUGAAGGAUUUGGAUGAAAUCAAAUCGUCAAUCUCAAUGAAGCAACUAUUAGCGAUUAUGCCAGAAUGUCGUUCUAUGUUGAAUUCUUCAUUAAUACUACGAAGAACUUGGUCUAAAGAAGUUUGGGAAGUCAGCUUAAACCCCGAUCCAGGAGCAUCGAUUAUUGAUGUAUCUAUCAAUGGAGUCUUUAUUUCUAGAGUUCAAGUGGAUCCGGGCUCAAGUGUAAAUUUAAUGACGGUGGAAAUAAUAAAAAAUCUGAGUUUAAUUAAGUUGUUAUCCACAUUAUUUGUAUUAAGAAUGGCUGACUAUAAUCGAGUCAAGCCUAUGGAUAUUCUUUAUAGUAUUGACAUUGCUAUAGCAGAAAUUAUGUAUAAAAUUGAUUAUAUCAUUUUUACAUUAUAAAGUUCCACAUUAUCAUAUCUAAAUUUAUUGGGACGGCCAUGGUUAUACCAAGCUAAAGCUAAAAAUGAUUGGGGCCAUAGAACGUUAACUAUCAGAAAGGGAAGAAAAACGAUUGUUUUGCAAAUGCACCUAGUCCAAUAUCAUAGGGAAUUACAAGUUCUAGACUCGGAAGUGACAUCUGAUGAGGAGGAUCAAUCUAAGGAUAACUAUGAUGAAAUUACUAACUUAAUGCAAGUCGACAAUGAUCCAAAUUGCAUACGUAAGGAAGAAAUAUCCUACCAAUAUUGAGGACUUAAAGAAUAUUUUGUUCAUCAGGAGGAUGCAACUAACUCGGAUCAUACUAUUGCCCAAUGGAUGGACAAUCUUGCAAUCAAUAGAGUCAGCUGAUUGGAACAAGAAUGGGAUAGUUCUUAUAUGUCGGAUAAUAUAAGAUAUUUAGAUCAAGAGAAGAUAAUUAAAUCAGAGGUUGUAGAAGAUCCUGUGUGUCUAUCUAUUAACCUAGGCACCAACAAAAUGCCACAUCUAAUUAAAAUAUAUGCCAGUAUUAUAGUUACAGAAUUAGAUGCUUGAAAACAAUUUUUUGUCCAUCACAAAUUUGCCUUUGUGUGGUCGUAUGUGGAUUUGAAAGGGAUUCGAGUCGACGUGUGUGAGCACUAGAUUAUUUUGGAAGAGGGUGUUAUGCCAGUUUGUCAAAGACAACACCAACUUAACCCAAGAUAUUUUCUUUUAGUGAAAGAAGAAUUGGAUAAACUUCUCGACGUGGAUUUUAUUUAUCCUAUUCCGCAUAGUGCAUGGGUGUCACCAAUCGUGAUAGUACCAAAGAAAAAUGGGAAAAUCAAGAUGUGUCAAGAUUUUGGAAAGUUAAAUGCGGCUACUAAGAAGGAUUAUUUUUCGUUACCGUUUAUAGACAAUAUUUUAGACGCAAUGGCCAGAUAUGAAUGGUACUCAUUUUUGGACGGAUUUUUGGGAUAUAAUCAAAUUAAAAUUGCUUAAGAAGACCUGUUGAAGAUUACGUUUACCACAAAUUGGAGAACAUUUGCCUAUAAAGUAAUGCCAUUUGGAUUAUGUAAUGCCCUAGUUACUUUUCAACAAGUAAUGACACAAGCAUUUCAAGACUACCUAUGUUUAUCAAUGGAGAUAUUUCUAGACGAUUUUUGAUCCUUUAGCACAACGGCUAAACAACUAGCAUGUCUAGAUAACUGUUUGAAUCAAUGCGAUAAAUUUGGGAUAUCUCUAAAUUUGGAGAAGUGUCAAUUUGGCAUACCGUCCGGAAAGCUAUAGGGACACAUUGUCUCUAUUGAAGGUAUCGCUAUGGACCCCGAUAAAGUUAUUAGUAUAUUGGGUUAACCAAAGCCAGAUACGGUAUUAGGCAUACACAAUUUCAUCGGUCAUGUUAGCUACUAUCGGCAUUUUAUUGAAUCUUUUGCAAUUAUCUGUCAACCAUUAAUUAACUUGUUAAAGAAACCCCCACCAAACGGAUCUAGCUCAAUAUGGACUAAAGACUAUACUUUUGCAUUUGACAAAUUGAAACAAAAAUUAGUAUCUGUUCCAAUUCUUGUAACACGUUGUUGGACAAAAUCGUUUCAUGUCUAUAUGGAUGCGUCCAAGGUUGCUAUUGGAUCCAUUCACAGAUAAAAUGAUGAAAAAGAAUUAGAUCAUCUCAUAUAUUAUGCGAGCCAACAAUUCGUUGCUGCAGAAUGAAAUUAUAAUACUACCGAGCGAAAAGCCCUCGGAAUGAUCUACUCUGUACAAAAAAUCUGCCACUAUCUACUUGGAUACCCAUUUGUGUUCCACGUUGAUCAUGAUGCACUUAAAUACAUGAUAAAUAAACCUCAAUUGAGCAGAUGAUUUGCUUGACGGUGUUACUUCUGUAGGAAUUCAACUUUACGAUUAACGUUCGAUCCGGCAAAAAAUAUGCCAAUGAAGAUCAUUUAUCCCAUUUAUCUAAUAUAUGGGGUAAUGAGCCAAUAAACAAUGUUUUUUUGGACGCACAACUAUUUGCUGUGGAUGUCAUUACACACAAAUAUGGUGAAUCGAUCCAAUAUCUAAUGUUUUAGACUUUUGUAAUUUCUUAUAAUGAAAAAUUAAAGAAGCGUCAGAUUUUAAAAAGUGCGCCAUAUACCAUGAUUGCAGAUGCCUUGUACAAACAAGGGCGGGAUGGAAUUUUAUGCUGUUGCAUCUUUCAAAGUGAAGUUCGUACAAUUUUGGAAGGCUGUCAUUUGGACAGUUGUGGAGGACAUUUUGCGGGUGAUAGCACCACACGUAAGGCUUUAAUGGCUGGGUAUUGGUGGCCAACAAUGUUUUCGGAUGCACACCAAUAUGUUCGUCGUUGUGAUCCUUGUCAACGAAUUUGUUUGCCCUACUAUAACUUCUGCAAUGCCAUUGGUACCAAUUUUGGCACAAGCACCAUUUGAAAAAUGGGGUAUUGACUUUGUAGGACCCAUUGUACAUGCCUCUCAAAAUGGACAUAAACGUUAUAUUCUAAUAGCCACCAAUUAUGUCACCAAAUGGGCAAAGGCCAUGACAAGGAAAACUGAUAAUGCCAAUACAGUAGCAACAUUUUUAUAUGAGAACAUUAUCACUGAUUUUGGCUGUCUGAAAGAAUUGGUUAAUGAUCGCGGAAUACAUUUUAUUAAUACAAUAAUUGAAACAUUAAUAGCGAAGUAUGAGAUCAAACAUUCCAAAAUUACACCUUAUCAUCCACAAGCCAAUGGGUACAUAGAAAAGACCAAUGAUAUCCAAUUUAAGAUCUUAACAAAGACUAUUUCAAGAGCAAAAAACAAUUGGGAUACUAAAUUGUUUGCAACUUUAUGGGCAUACCGUAUUGCAUAUAAAGUAACUAUCAAUUCUACCCCAUUUCAAUUGAAAUACGAUCAGGAGGUAAUUCUACCAAUUGAAUUGGAGGUCCAAAGUUUACAAAUUGUAUUAGAUGAACGUAUGGGAGACAAAGAAUCUCUUCAAUAUAUGUUAGUCAAAUUGGAGAAAUUGGAUGAAGCUAGGGCUAUGGCUCUCUUGAUCAUGGAAGCUACACAACGUUGUAGAAAGAGUUAUUACAACAGUAUGUUACAGUCAAAAUAUUUUAUGCCCAAUGAUUUGGUGCUACUUUAUGAUAGCCGCUUUAACAACUUUUUCGAUAAAUUUCAAGUAUAAUUGCAUGGGCCAUAUUGGGUGGUGGAAGGUUUUGUUAAUGCUUCAAUUUAAUUGAAAGAUUUUCUGUGAAUCCACUUUACAACACGCAUUAACGAGAACUAGUUACGCAUGAAUGGGAAUCGAUAAGAUUGAAAAGGUUGUGAUAGUUAGGAAACGAUUGAUGGUUAGUUUUGGGUACUGAAAUUGACUAGUCAAGAAAUUAGACAUUCUUGUUAGACGUGAGAUUAAGAUAUUCUAGAUUAGAUAUUCUUGAUUUGAAUCCCGAGUAAGCAGUUAGGAGCGAGGCACUCAUAGAAGGUAUCAUUGUUGCAAAUUUUAGACAUUGUGCUUUGAAUUGUAAGCUUUACGACAGUAAUCAGCAAUAGUGUUAGCGUGAAGAAGUAUUGAGAGUUUGAUUUUCACAAUGUUGAUAGAAAGAGCAAAGAGAGUACCGAAAUGAUCAAAAAGUCACUGCAAUGUGAGGUCUAAGUGCGAUUUGGGAUCACGGUCUCUUGUAGUUAUCACCAACAUGUAACCGAUGAAGUUAGAUAUCUGUUGGUCAUUGAAAAGGCAAAAAGAUUUUAGAAAUACAUAGUUAUUUACGUUUUUACAAAGAUCGAAUAAACUACCACCAAUUAAUGUAAAACGAGUGGCGAAAUAUAUAGAGAAUUAUGAUCUAGAGGAUGGUUUGAGUGUGGUAAGAGGAGUCUUGAUUGGAAUAGAUGAGAAUAUCUUACACAAGGUCUUACAUUUACCAACCGGAGAGCUUGAUGUAGGAGGAGAUGCAUCAAAUGACUUCAGGCGAGGAAGCUACUUCAAAGGAGGAAUGUCGUCUCUCGAGUGAAAUCAAGGAUGGAAGGUACAGGAGGCACUUCUGUCCAAACUUAUGGAAUGGAUGCGGUUUGUUCAGAAGCAGUUAGCAUUGAAUUAGCAUACCACCUACAUGGUGAAGCGAUUAUUAUUUUUCAUGAUAGGAACACUGAAAGGCAUGGUAUUCAAUUGGGCAGCUUCUGUGGCCACAACGAUACAUGCAAAAAUGAGAGGUAAUGGGAAGACGGAGAAUUUUGCUUCACUAUUACGUUCAAAUUAUGUAAACUCAGUACUUGAGUAUACAUUGAAAUAAGAAUCUCAACCAAUUAGAGAUGACAAUAGAGAUGACGACACCAAUACCAAUUCCAAGGGAAAGCAACCAAUUAGGGUUUCCACAGGGUAUAACGGAAAGAUGAAAUCUUAAAAAAGUUAUAUUGAAUCAAAUUUCCUAGCUGCAACUUACGGUGAAUAAGCUCAAAGAUGAGGAUAGCUUAAAAAGGCAAGUAGAAGCGAGCAAGAAAAUAAUAUUGGAGCAAAAUUACAAAAUCAAGGAACAAGAACAAGUCAUCAAGGUAGAAUCAGAAUCCAAGAUGCGAGUGAAGCGUGAAUUGGAUAAGAGAGUGGAAAACUAGUCAAAGGAGAAACAAAGGAUUCAACAUAUCCUAAAAAAUCAAAGGCAAGAAUUACUACAAACUCGCAAAUCAUAUAAAUUGGAACAAGACAAGAUGAACGCUAAGUUGAAGAUGGAAUGAGAGAAGAAGGAGGCAUUGGAGCUUAAAAAGAAACAAUUGGGUGUCGAAUAUCGAAACAAAAUAGAUGAGCUACAGGCAAAAAUUAUUGUUUUGAAGGAAAUAGUAACAAAAUUGGAGAGUGAUUUGGUCAAAAUUGGUUAGCCACAGAUAUUUGCCUCAACGAGAAUAAAAAUUGAAAAAUUGGAGGAGAAAUUGCAAAAGCAACAACAAUAAUUGCAAGUUCAUGUUCGAGAAUUGGGAGCGUAUAAUGAAGAUUUAACAGCUCAAUUAAAGGUAGAGAUUUAGGAUGAGUCGUCGAAAGAAGAUAUAGUGUUGAAACAAGACCAAAUGGAGCCAACGCCAGGAAUUGAAAAGAUUAAACAAUCCACUUACAAAAAGAAGAAAAAAAAAAAAAAAAAAAAAAAAAUUGUUUAUCAAUAUUGUAUUUGCAUGGACCCUAUACAAUUAGAAGUCAGGCUAUAUAGAAUAAGUAGUUAUUUUUAGGAUGUAGAUACAUAAUGUAUAGUGUAAACAGGGUUAGAUAACUACUGAAAAGGUGGUUCAAUAGGUAGAAUGGAUGAAUAGUCAGGAAAAAUAGUUAUCAUCGGUAGUAUAGGAGUUGAUAUCUUGGGGUAGUAUAAGGAGGAUGGGAGAGAAGAUGAAAAUUCCAGAUUGUGAUAGUUAUUAGCCAAGAAUAAGCUUGGUGCUAUCUCUUCUUCUUAGUUUUCUUGUUUCUUUGGUGUUAGUGUUGAUUCUUGUGAAGAUAAUCGAUUUAAUGAAUCAAUGUUUGAUUUAGGAAGUUUUUUAUAGAAGUUUCCAGUCACUGUUUAUCGCAAGGUUGUAAGUUCAGUGGAGAGGAAUUAUAAUUGAAGGAAUUGUCUUCAUCAAAUUCAGUGGAUUAGAAGUUGUUCGUUCCAAGAUUUGGGUUAUGCUUGUGUGUUUGUAAAUUACACAGGGUAUUGAAAUUGAUGUCGAGGUUGUUAUCAUAUUAAUAUGAGAGAGUAAACAAUAGGAGGAAAAGUUAAGUGUUCUUCAACAUUGUAAGCAUUCAGUUGUAGCGGUUAAUUGUGUGACCCUAACAAUUGGAACUCAUAUACAUGGUCUUUUCCUGUGUUCAAAUUCCCCUAUAUGAAUUUAUUCUGGUAGGUUUCUUUCAAAAUAAGUAAAACGAUAAUCACAAAAACUCAUGCAUUUUAACAUAGAAGAGAGCAAAUCCAUUGAAACUCCAUUUGAUGUGAAUUCCAAGUUGUUGAAGCUUUUUGAGAAAAAGUAUGAAGAGAUUCAAGAAGAAAUGGAAGGCAUUCCAUACAAGACAACAAUAGAAUCAUUCAUGUAUGCAAUGGUGGAUAUAAGGGCAAAUCUUGCAUUUUUGAUGGAUGUGCUAAGCCAAUUCAUAUCUAGAGCAAGUCCCUUUCAUUGGAUGGUUGAAAUGCAUCAUGAAAUAUUUGAAGGAUACUUUAGACUUCAAUUUGUAUUUAGAGGCAAAGACAUCAUAUUGAAGGGUUUUAGUCAUGUGGAUAAAGUGGGGAGUAGAAUGAUCUCUCUCACUCCGAGCAUUGUAUGCAUACUCUAUCUAUUGCAUGUACUUAUGCAUCUUGUUUGUACUCCUAUUGUACUUCAACAACUUUUGCACCAAGAGGUAGGCUGCAACGCACUAACUACCAUGCAGUCAAAAAAUCUUCUUAGAUUUCACACGGAUAUGUCACAAAUCAAGCUAUUUCAAACAAUGAAGGCAAAUAUCUACAGUAUUAUGGAUGAAAACAUUUACAUCAACUGUAGAAGCACAAUAAUCACUUAUUAGUAGAUUAGUUUAGUAUGUCCAUACUUCAGCUACUAGAUACAUUUUUCUAAUACCCAUGGCAUGCAACGAAGUUAUGGAGUGUACCUUUACACCACUACACCACCUCUACACCACUAUAAAUAACUCACUUGGCAAGUGGGAUGCCAUGUAGGUUCGGUGGUUACCACCUUUCUGUGGUUGAAACCCUCGUUUACAAGCCACCACGAGCUCCUGUCUACCUCCUGGUAGGAAGGGGGCGUAUGCUUCGGAGGACUCUUACGUCCAAUGCGUUAUUGGACCAGUGAACUGUUAGUAGCUGCAGUGACAUAAACAUAUUGACGCACGUAUCGACGUCAUAUUCAGCAUAGUUUACAACAAGAAGUUCAUUACUGCGUUGGGUUUAUUACUUGCCAGAAUUUCAGAUUCGUUUUUCAACUUGCUUUGCAGUACGAGGUUCUGGACCCUUGUUUUCACAGAAUUAAGUCGACACCUUCUGGAACAUCCACUUUGUUUACUUCGUUUUGACAGACUUCCCAACAUUGACAAAUUGUAGAUGAAGUUAUCGACAUUAAAGUGUCGAAAAAUUAGUUCGACAUUGAUUUAGUCACUUGUGUGUCUAAACAAUUGUCGAAACCGAAGCAAGCGAAAUCCUUCCAAAUUUCUACAGUCAUAUGUCAGAGAAUUUCCCAAAAAAUAUAAUAAAAUGUCGGAAACCUGCCAAAAAAGGUGUCAAAAACAAACCCUCUUCGGUUGUUCUUCGGUUCUGCGUGGGCACAUCCCACUUUUCCAAUCUGAAGCACAAGCACGAGAGGUUUGUUUUAACGAAGCAAUUCCCUUGGUAAUGAUCAGAAUUGCGGAGUUUUCAGACUUCAUCCCCCCUGGAGCUAUUUUCUCAAAAGUUGCAUGAAACUUGAGAAGAUGGAGCACUAUAGGCGCCUUCAGCCAACAAUGCCGGAUGCGGCUCUACGUAGGAUUCUUGCAAAUAAGAUCUCAUUCCCACAUGAUAGGUCAUCCUUAUCUGCUUCAACAACAUAAUGCCAGAAUCACAGUAUCCCUCACAUCAGGUUCAACAGCUUUCGAAGUCCAUGUGUAAGUUCAUGUUAGUCAUUCUACGGAGACAUUUUAAUCUCUCCAAGCAAGUUUCUGCAUUUGGUCUUCUGGAAGCGUCAGUCUGCAAGCAAUCCCUUUGCAACUCUCGAACACCCGCUGACAAACCAUUUAUCCCGCUACUCCUGAUCAAAUGCCCAAUGCCCCAUAUGUCUACACUCGAGUCAUGACGACCUCUGCUCAUCUCAGGGGCGUGAGCUUCAACACACAGUCCGUGAGCGUGACCACAGGGAGUAGCAGCAGUCUCAUCAAAAUCAAUUAAAACCCAGUUGGUACCUGAAGUGUUUCUGAGAACAUUCCGCCAAGUUAUAUCUCGAUGCAUUAGAUUUUUUCCAUGCAACCAGACCAGUGCUUCUGCAACAUUGAUCAAUGCUUUCAAAAGUUCAUCUUCAGGUCUCGCCCGGCUUUUCACAAGACACCGGGGUAUCAUUCGGAAUCUACGAUCGGCUGCAUUAAUUUUCAGCACCUGCUCUGCAUUGGGGCAAUCCUUGAUGCUCUUAUAUAUUUGGUACACCUUCUCAAAGGUACGCUUAUCUCUGUAGAUCUUGUCAACACCAGUCCCCACGAAAACAGUUUUUCCGUCAGUGCGAUAAUCGUAAAAGUCAGACUCAACUCCCAGCACGAUUCCAGCUUCAGACAGGCGCAUUAGCAGCUUGCUGAUGUUGAAGCCUAUCAACGAUGCCAGCAACCUGUCCUCUACAACAGAUAGAUUGACAGUGAUCAAAUCCACCACCUCAGUCUUACAUCGCUUAGCAUCAUGCACUAGUGCACAGUAAGUAACGAUCGCUGCGUUGGCAUAAUAACACAGGAGAUAGGGCAGGUUUCCAUACGUCCAGAUCAGCUUCCUGACCAAUUCUUGUUUGGGAUCAUCUUCAGUAUCUGGCCCCUUCUCCUCGCCACGCCAAAGUGCGAGUCUGGAAACCAUCCCAAGUUUGUCUGGGCGCUUGUUCUCGGAUGAACUAAACCUUGAGGUGUCUCUAUCAAAGACAAGUGUUUCCAAAGAGAACAGGGAUAUUGGCUCAGUAACAAGACAAUCCCAAUAAGCAUGAUAAGAACUUUCUGUAGAGCCUGUAGCUGGAGGCCUUAACACAAUCCCAAGGUGGUCAUCCAAAUUCCAGCAAACGCCUCGUGCAGGGUCAUGACAAAUAAAGUUGUCUGCUUUACUCAGAUAGCUCUUCCACUGAAAGUAGCGUCGGUGAGAAACCGGAAAUGCCAUACGUGGCGGAUGCAGCAAGUAACCUUUCAGUUCAGUGACCUCCGGAAUCCUGACGUCCACUCUUGCUUCUACUAAUAACCUCCGGAAAGGGUCCAGUGCAUCCUGUUGAGCAGCUGCUUAAACCACAAAAUAAGUAAACAUACAUAGAGAUGCGAGCCUAAAUAAGCACAUAAAUUAGCAGGCCAGACUACCUAUGGUUUCGGAAACCUAUGUAGCCAUUGUGAAAGAGUAGUGUCCCCUCCAGAAACGAAAACCCCCAAGGUAUAGAGUUCCACACCGACCACCUCAACGCGUCCAGUAACCACAGGGAAGAAGAAAGGGUGGUGGCUUGGUAUAUAUAGCUGGAACAGCAUUAAGGCACAGCUACCGAGACGUAACGUGGCAGCAAGAGAAAGGCCGAAGUCAGGUGAGUUGGGGGAGUGUGUUAAAUACCAGCCAUCAGUAACCCUUUAUCGGUUAAUAAUCGGCUGAGGUUAAGUACCAUGAGUUCAAACAGAGGGAGGGAGGGAGCGUGGCUGCAUAAAGAAAACCUUCACCAGUUACCCAUAAGUUCGAGAACUAAUUAAUAGGUGCCAUGCAGACACGUCUACAACCCUUAAUAGGUUAACCUGGAGGAAAAAAUUGGAACGUACUUGUUUACAAAAAGCAUAAAUCAACGGCUUCCUCAACUGUGAUAAAACAAUCAGACCUUCAGGCGCAAAGUAUGAACAGUGCAACGCAGCCAAUUCAACAAUGGUGCAAGACCAUCCAAUACAAGCACGUGUCUCUGAAUGACAAACAUCGAAUAAAAUUGGAAUGUGUACUUCCCUGUGUACUUGCAUAACCUACAUGACCAAGAAGUACCAGAAGAAGAAGAGGACAAGGGGGUGGGGAAAAAUAAAUGCAGGCAUUGAGCAAAAACUAGAGAGCCCUAGAGAGCGAAUCAGUAAGACCAAGAACAACAUUUCUUACCCAAUGAGUUUCAAUAGAUCCACAAGGUUCAGAAACCUUGAAAACAACAGACCUUAUCAGACGUGGAAUAAAGCAUCGAACAAGCCAUCACAAGAAAACCUAAUUGUUCUGCUGAAAAAAAAAAACAUACCAGGAGCAGGAGCUUGUAAGAAUGCAUACUUCAGGGCUUAAGGUAUUGAUUAAGCUACCAAGUUAAGAAGGAGAAUCAUACCGGUAGGAGGUGCUACCCCAAUGCCAACCCUAAUUCCAUAACCAUGAACUAAACCCUCGCCCGAAAAUAU
rnacentral:lncRNA from 1 species